ACGUACCAGUUGAAGCUUGGUGGGCGGUGGCUAGUGAUGACUUGUGUGGCCAGUCUUCUCUAGUGUGUCUUGUCUUGCCCUUGUGAGAGCAUCUAUCGCAGGGAUUAGAUGAAGUUGAGAGACAUGUCUUGUUGUCUUGGUUUGGGUGAAUAUAUACUGCAUUUUGAGCUUCAGAUAUGUGUGAUGGGUUGGGAAACCUGAGUUUUAAUUGAAUGUUGUCAUGCCAUCCGACAAUGUCAUAAUUUGCCCUUGCAUUUCGAUUACACUUGGAACUUAUUUUGUUGAGUUUUUCGACUUCUCCAUCUACAUGAAAAAUGUGCACCUCUGUUUGUGUUUCUUCAUUUAAUGCUGAGAUACAUGUAAGCUCGCAUAAAUUAAUGUUGCAACUUUCUUGAAAGAGCUGUUUUAUUUUAAGAAUGCUAAAGAAGUAUUCAAGUUUUUUUGAAAGGUUUGUAGUAUUUGUUUAAGAGCACUAAAUGGUACUAUAUAUAUCGCGCUAUUCGUCACCCUGGGUGAGAAAUAGUUAUUCUUCACCCCUUCUCUAUUUUGACAUCGAUGCACCGUAUUUUUACGUUUCAUAAUUUUUUUCUUAUUUCAUACAUAAAAAGAGAACCUAAAAAAGUAUGUACUCACAGUAAAAAAUUAUGUAAAAUUAUGAAUGUAAAAACAUAAUAUAAAACACACAUAAAAUAUAAUUUUUCUGGUAUUAUAACCUACUCCCUCCGUCCCAUAAUGUAAGACGUUUUUUGGCACUACACUAGUGUUAAAAAACGUCUUAUAUUAUGGGACGGAGAGAGUAUAUUUUUGUGUUUUUAUACCAAAUUUUACAUAUUGAAUCAAUAUGUAUGUAACUAUUUAUAUUCUAAACAUAAUUUAUUUAGGAAGCGGUCGUUAGAUUACCUCGGGUGAAGAAUAACUUAUUCUGCACCUGGAUGACGAAUAGUAACAUGUUAAAAUAUUCAAAAUGUCUUAUAACUCAGAACAGAGUUGAUACUCCCAAAAAGUAGUCUAGUUUAAAAAUGCUACAAGUUGGCUACUACCUACGUCCUGAUUUAUUAGUCCCCUUUCGUAAUCUAUGUCACAUUUUGAUCUUAAAUUUAACUAACAAAAUGUUAAUGCAUGUCAUAAAAGAUAAUAUAAUUGAAAACCAUGUUCAAAUAUUUUGUUAGUUAAAUCUCUAGUCAAAAUUUGGCCUAAAAUACAAAGGGAACUUAUAAACCAAGACGGAGGUAGUACAUGCUAAAAUAGAAAAAACUACUCCCUCCAUUCCAUAAUGUAAGACGUUUUAUGGCACUACACUAGUGUUAAAAAACGUCUUAUAUUAUCGGACGGGGAGAGUAUAUUUUUGUGUUUUUAUACCAAAUUUUACAUAUUGAAUCAAUAUGUAUGUAACUAUUUAUAUUCUAAACUUAAUUUUUUUAGAAAGCGGUCAUAAGAUUACCUCGGGUGAAGAAAAUAACUUAUUCUGCACCUGGAUGACGAAUAGUAACAUGUUAAAAUAUUCAAAAUAUCUUAUAACUCAGAACAGAGGUGAUACUCCCCAAAAGAAGUGGUCUAGUUUAAGAAUGCUACUUGUUGGCUACUACCUACGUCCUGAUUUAUUAGUCCCCUUUCGUAAUCUAUGCCACAUUUUGAUCCUAAAUUUAACUAACAAAAUGCUAAUGCAUGUCAUAAAAGAUAUUAUAAUUGAAAACUAUGUUCAAAUAUUUUGUUAGUUAAAUCUCUAAUCAAAAUUUGGCCUAAAAUACAAAGGGACUUAUAAACCAGGACGGAGGUAGUACAUGCUAAAAUAGAAAAAACCACUCCCUCCGUUCCAUAAUGUAAGACGUUUUUUGGCACUACACUAGUGUUAAAAAACAUCUUAUAUUAUGGGACGGAGAGAGUAUAUUUUUGUGUUUUUAUACCAAAUUUUACAUAUUGAAUCAAUAUGUAUGUAACUAUUUAUAUUCUAAACGUAAUUUAUUUAGCAAUCGGUCGUAAGAUUACCUCGGGUGAAGAAUAACUUAUUCUGCACCUGGAUGACGAAUAGUAACAUGUUAAAAUAUUCAAAAUGUCUUAUAACUCAGAACAGAGGUGAUACUCCCCAAAAGAAGUGGUCUAGUUUAAGAAUGCUACAAGUUGGCUACUACCUCCGUCCUGAUUUAUUAGUCCCCUUUCGUAAUCUAUGCCACAUUUUGAUCUUAAAUUUAACUAACAAAAUGUUAAUGCAUGUCAUAAAAGAUAAUAUAAUUGAAAACUAUGUUCAAAUAUUUUGCUAGUUAAAUCUCUAGUCAAAAUUUGGCCUAAAAUACAAAGGGAACUUAUAAACCAGGACGGAGGUAGUACAUGCUAAAAUAGACAAAACUACUCCCUCCGUUCCAUAACAUAAGACGUUUUUUGGCACUACACUAGUGUUAAAAAACGUCUUAUAUUAUGGGACGGAGAGAGUAUAUUUUUGUGUUUUUAUACCAAAUUUUACAUAUUGAAUCAAUAUGUACGUAACUAUUUAUAUUCUAAACGUAAUUUAUUUAGGAAGCGGUCGUAAGAUUACCUCGGGUGAAGAAUAACUUAUUCUGCACCUGGAUGACGAAUAGUAACAUGUUAAAAUAUUCAAAAUGUGCUAUAACUCAGAACAGAGGUGAUACUCCCCAAAAGAAGUGGUCUAGUUUAAGAAUGCUACUUGUUGGCUACUACCUCCGUCCUGAUUUAUUAGCCCCCUUUCGUAAUCUAUGCCACAUUUUGAUCUUAAAUUUAACUAACAAAAUGCUAAUGCAUGUCAUAAAAGAUAAUAGAAUUGAAAACUAUGUUCAAAUAUUUUGUUAGUUAAAUGUCUUGUCAAAAUUUGGCCUAAAAUAAAAAAGGGAACUUAUAAACCAGGACGGAGGUAGUACAUGCUAAAACAGAAAAAACUACUCCCUCCGUUCCAUAAUGUAAGACGUUUUUGGCACAACACUAGUGUUAAAAAACAUCUUAUAUUAUGGGACGAAGAGAGUAUAUUUUUGUGUUUUUAUACCAAAUUUUACAUAUUGAAUCAAUAUGUAUGUAACUAUUUAUAUUCUAAACGUAAUUUACUUAGGAAGCGGUCGUAAGAUUAUCUCGGGUGAAGAAUAACUUAUUCUGCACCUGGAUGACGAAUAGUAACAUGUUAAAAUAUUUAAAAUGUCUUAUAACUCAGAACAGAGGUGAUACUCCCCAAAAGAAGUGGUCUGGUUUAAGAAUGCUACUUGUUGGCUACUACAUCUGUCCUGAUUUAUUAGUCCCCUUUCGUAAUCUAUGCCAUAUUUUGAUCUUAAAUUUAACUAACAAAAUGUUAAUGCAUGUCAUAAAAGAUAAUAUAAUUGAAAACUAUGUUCAAAUAUUUUGUUAGUUAAAUCUCUUGUCAAAAUUUGGCCUAAAAUACAAAGGGAACUUAUAAACCAGGACGGAGGUAGUACAUUCUAAAAAAGAAAAAACUACUUCCUCCGUUCCAUAAUGUAAGACGUUUUUUGGCACUACACUAGUGUUAAAAACGUCUUAUAUUAUGGGACGGAGAGAGAGAGUAUAUUUUUGUGUUUUUAUACCAAAUUUUACAUAUUGAAUCAAUAUGUACGUAACUAUUUAUAUUCUAAACGUAAUUUAUUUAGGAAGUGGUCGUAAGAUUACCUCGGGUGAAGAAUAACUUAUUCUGCACCUGGAUGACGAAUAGUAACAUGUUAAAAUAUUCAAAAUGUCUUAUAACUCAGAACAGAGGUGAUACUCCCCAAAAGAAGUGGUCUAGUUUAAGAAUGCUACUUGUUAGCUACUACCUCCGUCCUGAUUUAUUAGUCCCCUUUCGUAAUCUAUGCCACAUUUUGAUCUUAAAUUUAACUAACAAAAUGUUAAUGCAUGUCAUAAAAGAUAAUAUAAUUGAAAACUAUGUUCAAAUAUUUUGUUAGUUAAAUCUCUAGUCAAAAUUUGGCCUAAAAUACAAAGGGAACUUAUAAACCAGGACGGAGGUAGUACAUGCUAAAACAGAAAAAACUACUCCUUCCGUUCUAUAAUGUAAGACGUUUUUUGGCACUACACUAGUGUUAAAAACAUCUUAUAUUAUGGGACGGAGAGAGUAUAUUUUUGUGUUUUUAUACCAAAUUUUACAUAUUGAAUCAAUAUGUAUGUAACUAUUUAUAUUCUAAACGUAAUUUAUUUAGAAAGCGGUCGUAAGAUUACCUCGGGUGAAGAAUAACUUAUUCUGCACCUGGAUGACGAAUACUAACAUGUUAAAAUAUUCAAAAUGUCCUAUAACUCAGAACAGAGGUGAUACUCCUCAAAAGAAGUGGUCUAGUUUAAGAAUGCUACUUGUUGGUUACUACCUCCGUCUUGAUUUAUUAGCCCCCUUUCGUAAUCUAUGCCACAUUUUGAUCUUAAAUUUAACUAACAAAAUGCUAAUGCAUGUCAUAAAAGAUAAUAGAAUUGAAAACUAUGUUCAAAUAUUUUGUUAGUUAAAUGUCUUGUCAAAAUUUGGCCUAAAAUAAAAAAGGGAACUUAUAAACCAGGACGGAGGUAGUACAUGCUAAAACAGAAAAAACUACUCCCUCCGUUCCAUAAUGUAAGACGUUUUUGGCACAACACUAGUGUUAAAAAACAUCUUAUAUUAUGGGACGGAGAGAGUAUAUUUUUGUGUUUUUAUACCAAAUUUUACAUAUUGAAUCAAUAUGUAUGUAACUAUUUAUAUUCUAAACGUAAUUUACUUAGGAAGCGGUCGUAAGAUUAUCUCGGGUGAAGAAUAACUUAUUCUGCACCUGGAUGACGAAUAGUAACAUGUUAAAAUAUUUAAAAUGUCUUAUAACUCAGAACAGAGGUGAUACUCCCCAAAAGAAGUGGUCUGGUUUAAGAAUGCUACUUGUUGGCUACUACAUCUGUCCUGAUUUAUUAGUCCCCUUUCGUAAUCUAUGCCAUAUUUUGAUCUUAAAUUUAACUAACAAAAUGUUAAUGCAUGUCAUAAAAGAUAAUAUAAUUGAAAACUAUGUUCAAAUAUUUUGUUAGUUAAAUCUCUUGUCAAAAUUUGGCCUAAAAUACAAAGGGAACUUAUAAACCAGGACAGAGGUAGUACAUUCUAAAAAAGAAAAAACUACUUCCUCCGUUCCAUAAUGUAAGACGUUUUUUGGCACUACACUAGUGUUAAAAACGUCUUAUAUUAUGGGACGGAGAGAGAGUAUAUUUUUGUGUUUUUAUACCAAAUUUCACAUAUUGAAUCAAUAUGUACGUAACUAUUUAUAUUCUAAACGUAAUUUAUUUAGGAAGCGGUCGUAAGAUUACCUCGGGUGAAGAAUAACUUAUUCUGCACCUGGAUGACGAAUAGUAACAUGUUAAAAUAUUCAAAAUGUCUUAUAACUCAGAACAGAGGUGAUACUCCCCAAAAGAAGUGGUCUAGUUUAAGAAUGCUACUUGUUAGCUACUACCUCCGUCCUGAUUUAUUAGUCCCCUUUCGUAAUCUAUGCCACAUUUUGAUCUUAAAUUUAACUAACAAAAUGUUAAUGCAUGUCAUAAAAGAUAAUAUAAUUGAAAACUAUGUUCAAAUAUUUUGUUAGUUGAAUCUCUAGUCAAAAUUUGGCCUAAAAUACAAAGGGAACUUAUAAACCAGGACGGAGGUAGUACAUGCUAAAACAGAAAAAACUACUCCUUCCGUUCUAUAAUGUAAGACGUUUUUUGGCACUACACUAGUGUUAAAAACAUCUUAUAUUAUGGGACGGAGAGAGUAUAUUUUUGUGUUUUUAUACCAAAUUUUACAUAUUGAAUCAAUAUGCAUGUAACUAUUUAUAUUCUAAACGUAAUUUAUUUAGAAAGCGGUCGUAAGAUUACCUCGGGUGAAGAAUAACUUAUUCUGCACCUGGAUGACGAAUAGUAACAUGUUAAAAUAUUCAAAAUGUCUUAUAACUCAGAACAGAGGUGAUACUCCCGAAAAGAAGUGGUCUAGUUUAAGAAUGUUACUUGUUGGCUACUACCUCCGUCCUGAUUUAUUAGUCCCCUUUCGUAAUCUAUGCCACAUUUUGAUCUUAAAUUUAACUAACAAAAUUUUAAUGCAUGUCAUAAAAGAUAAUAUAAUUGAAAAUUAUGUUCAAAUAUUUUGUUAGUUAAAUCUCUAGUCAAAAUUUGGCCUAAAAUACAAAGGGAACUUAUAAACCAGGACGGAAGUAGUACAUGCUAGAACAGAAAAAACUACUCCCUCCGUUCCAUAAUGUAAGACGUUUUUUGGCACUACACUAGUGUUAAAAAAUGUCUUAUAUUAUAGGACGGAGAGAGUAUAUUUUUUUGUUUUUAUACCAAAUUUUACAUAUUGAAUCAAAAUGUAUGUAACUAUUUAUAUUCUAAACGUAAUUUAUUUAGGAAGCGGUCGUAAGAUUACCUCGGGUGAAGAAUAACUUAUUCUGCACCUGGAUGACGAAUAGUAACAUGUUAAAAUAUUCAAAAUGUCUUAUAACUCAGAACAGAGGUGAUACUCCUCAAAAGAAGUGGUCUUGUUUAAGAAUGCUACAUGUUGGCUACUACCUCCGUCCUGAUUUAUUAGUCCCUUUCGUAAUCUAUGCCACAUUUCGUAAUCUAUACCUAGAGGGGGGGGGGGUGAAUAGGCAACUAACAAUUUUUAAGCUUUUCUUUACCAAAUUAAACUUUGCAACAAAAUAGGUUGUCUAGAUAUGCAACUAUGUGAGCAACCUAUAUGAUGCAAUAACAACUAACACAAGAGCAAGCAAGGGAUACAACACAAGUAGGCUUGCAAGAGUAAAGGCACGAAAUAACCAAGAGUGGAGCCGUUGGAGACGAGGAUGUGUUACCGGAGUUCCUUCCUUUUAAGGGGAAGUACGUCUCUAUUAGAGCGGUGUAGAGGCACAAUGCUCCCCAAGAAGCCACUAGGGCCACCAUAUUCUCCUCACGCCCUCACACAAUGCGAGAUGCCAUGAUUCCACUAUUGGUGCCCUUGAAGGCGGCAACCGGACCUUUACAAACAAGGUUGGGGCAAUCUCCACAACAAUUGGAGGCUCCCAAUGAAACUACGAAGCUUCACCACAAUGGAAUAUGGCCUCGAGGUGACCUCAACCAUCUAGGGUGCUCAAACACCCAAGAGUAACAAAAUACACACUAGAAAGUAUGCGGGAAGUAAAUAUCCUUUGGUGAAAGUGUAGAUCUAGGUCUCCUCCUUCAAACCCUAGCAAAUCAACAAGUUUGAGUGGCUAGAGAGAGUGAUCGGGCAAGAGAGCUUGAGAGCAUCAAUAGUGGAGUGAGAGAGGGGUAAGAGGUGGGCGUGGUAGGUAGAGGAACCACCUUAUAUAGCAGCCCACUAAAAUCCAACCGUUACUGCGUUUUCAGUACUGCAGCGGUACAACCGCUCCUUGUCCUGGUACAACCGGGACUCACGAUGUAGCUGCAGAACCCUACCAGGCGGUACAACCGGGCCAUCGGGCAGUAGUACCGGUCAUUAGCAAAUAACCGGACCAACCGCCCAGCCACCGCACAACUACCGCACCGAAACAGAACGGAGUCACCCUUGAGGGCGGUAGUUGGGCGGUGCAGGGCCGGUGCAACCGCCUGGCCUUGAUCGGUUGAGCGGCUAAGGAAUGAGCGGAAGAACCGCUCGAACCUCCGGUUGUACCGGUUGAAAAGGAACAACCGGACCAACCGGGCCACCACCGCCCAGCCACUGCAUCAGAACAGAAGCCUGACCGGUACAUGGGCGGUGCAUGGCCGGAAUAACCGCUGCUGGUCAUUGUAGAGAUAGGUGGCGGUACCACCGCCCGGAGGCAGCGGUACCACCGCUCGACAAUGGCAGAGAAGCGUCAGGAGCCAGCGGUACUACCACUCGGACGAGCGGUACAACCGCUGGGAAUACACAACAAAGAUUAGAUUAAAAUGGAGGCACUCUCUCGACAAGAAGAGGGGUGAUGGAGGUGUACGAGAAUGAAAUCCCCUAUUCUUUCCAAAGUGGAUUCCCUCUUGAUAGUACGGGAUCCCUACGACCAAAGAGAUAAAAGUGUAGAGGAUUCUGUCUUCAACGAUUCCUUCGAGAGAGAACCACUAAUCGAUGAAAGCCUAAUCAUUGAGAACCUGAAACAUUUAGCACAGGAUUAGACCAACAAAUGUUUGUCAUCAUCAUCCAAAACAUAAGGAAGGGAAAUGCCCUUUCAAUCUCUCCCUUUUUGGUGGAUGAUGACAACAACACGAUAUAAGAUAGAAGACUAUAGAAUCUAGACGGAGCUCCCCCUAGAUGUGAGCCCCAGGUCGAGACUCCCCCUAGAUUUUAUAGGCUAGUCACAAAAAGCAUAUAACAUGAAGGUAGCCAACACAAUGAAACAAGAGCAAUACUACCAAUAAAAACCAACAAGCAUAAAGAAGAGAUAGCAGGAGUGGCACAAAAUCCACACAAAUCAAACGAGAAUGACCAAAGUUCAACUGGAGACUAGAGACAAGUUCAACAUGAGACACACACUACGCAACCACCCAUGCAACUCCCGAGUCCUAUCACACUCUCUCCCCCUUUGGCAUCAGGACACCAAAAAGGAAGAGAGCGAAGCUAUCGCCCCAGGCUCAGUCGUCCUCGUCUGACUCCUCGGUAGCAUCUAGAUCUUCAUCAUUGUCAGAAUCUUCACCAUCAUCAGAAACUUCAUCAUCGUCCCGAUCUGAGUCCUCCAUGAUAUCAUCAGCAGCAGUAACGGUGGUGGAGGGCUGAGGAGGGGCUUCAUCAUCAGUCCAGGUGCUGUGGGAAGAUAUCCAACGCUCCUCCGGUGUGAUGCUCUUCUCAGAAUCACUCUGAACUGACAUGCUGAGGUGCCUCAUCAUAGCAAUUUGGCGACGCCGCGCAAGCUUCUCAUUGACAUGUGCCUCAUACAUCCUCUUCUGGAUGUCAGACUGAAGGCAGAAAGUCUUCUUCACCUUGGCAGCGAGCUUGUCCACCCACGAGGGCUUGGCCCCUGGUUCCAACUCAAAAUCCUCAUCAUCAGAAGUGGCAUAGACAUCCUCCGGAGCAUUAGCAGGGAAACGUGGCUCGACAUGCUUCUCCUUCUUAAGGAGCUUGACUUCAUGAUUGGUAAGAUUGUCAGGAGAGGUGAGGGGCUCUCCAGGAAGGCGAACACCCCACACGGAGUUCAGAAAGCACAUGACAAACGGAGCAUAAAUGGGGACCUUCCUGUAGAUGACCAUGUUGUACAUCUCGUGCCACAGCCAGUUGGACACAUCAAACGUCUCCCCAGAUCCAACCUUGGUCUUCAUAGCAACCAUCAAGUCAACAAGAUAGCCAUGGAUUUCAUCUUGAUUCCCCACUUUGGGCAGAAGCACAUUGCGAAAAACACGAUGCAUGAUGUCAUAGACCUUCACCAAAUCCUUAGAUUCACUAAUAAUACCACGGCCCCGAAUGUACAGAGGGGCAAGCUUCUCCUUAGGCAUGGGGUCAGGAUGAUCAUGGGGGCGAAUGCCACCCCUUCCUUCCAGACCGGUAUCAUCGUACCCAAUAGCAUUGCAGAAGGUCCUCGAGGGAACUUGAAAGAGCUCAUCACAACACAUGAAAGUGAGGGUGCGCGCGUCAUCUUCUCCAAAGUGAACGGUGGCAUAGAACAGAUGGAUGAGUUGAACAUCAAAGUCACAGUUGACGGACAUGAUCUUGACAAGAUCAAACUCCUCACAGAGAGCCAAAGCCUCACCAAAAUACUCCAGGUUGUUCCGCCAAUGAUCAAGAUCGAUGAUCCACUACUUGGCAUAUCUGUUCUUGUUGUCCUCAAAGAGUUCAUGAACAAUCACUACAAGAAACCUGUUAAUCCAUGACGGAUUUUUGAUGACAUUUUCAGAAUCUGUCAUGGAUGGGCUAAUACAACCCCGCAAGCCCGCCGAAGCCCGCUAAAGCCCGGUUAAUUGUUCCCCGUAUAAAAAAAACCUAACCCUAGCUCCCUUCACUUCGGCCCCUCCCUCCUCCGCAGUCCCCUCCCAUUCCCCAUCGUCUCCCGCACAUCGCCCCCACCUCGCCGCCUCCCUACUCCCACGGCUCGCCGCCGGCCCUCUCCUCCUCUCACCUCGCGGCUCCGGCGGCUGCUAGAUCCGCCACAAGCCCCACCCAUCCACCCCUCUCGCGACCCAUCUCUCUCUCUCUCUCUCUCUCUCCCUCUCCUACGAACCCUCGCGCCGCCAGCAAUGUCCGCCGAUUCCGGCGAUGUCCAGCACCGCGCAGCACGCUCACAAGCUCUUCUCCGACCCAUCCGGCCUCCAGUACGGCUGGAUCCGCCGUCCCCGGCCUCUGGCGCAUGUCCAUGACCCCUAGCCCAUGGCUAGGGUUUCUGUGGCGUCGCGUCCGUCGCCGGUGCGGCUCCAGCGGCUCCUCUCCAUCGUACAUCGCGCCCCCUCGCGCCCUCUCCUCCUCCUAGAUGGCGCUCCUUCGCUCGGUGUGCUUGCACGCGUUGGUCUGGACGGUGGCGACCCUGACCCCAUCUGCCGCGAGCGCCGAGGAAGGAGGAGGUCGUCACGAGGGAGUACACCAUCAACCUCCACAAGCGCCUCCAUGGCUGGUAUGCGACCUCCCAGCACUGUUACUUCUGCCCACUCUCUCGUUCCAGCUGCAAGAUCCGACUUGGUUCACCACGCCGUCCUACUGUAUUCUAUCCAGCGGCUCCUCUCUGUUGUUUAUUUAUUCUAUUAACUCAUGCUACAAUAUUUCUCAAUAUUAAUCUGUCCGGUAUAACAUUUAUAGUCUAGUAGCAAAUUAGUUUUAUAGUCAAUAAACUGUCUAAUGCUUUCUUGGUUUGAUUAAAAUUACAGUGACAAUCAGGUAGCCGUAGUUUUAGUUGACGGUAGUUGGUAUCGAUGAAUCUCAAGUGGCAAGUAUUCUGAGUUAUUUUUAAAACUUAUAACAUGAUCUUGGACCCAUAAUGGAUGAUCGAUGCAUAAUUCUUCUAUGCUGCAUGAUGUGUGUGUUUCUCUUUUCUUGUAUUAUUAACCGAUUCUCGUAAUCACUUCAUAUGUAUCUCCAUCUUUUAUGUUCAGCAAUAAUCUGUGCGAAAAGGUUGAUCUUCAAACUGGAAAAGUAUCAUACUUAUCUUAGCAUGUCUCAUGUUCGCAACAUCUAUGACCUCAGUUAUUCAUUCUGUACUGAAUUUCACGCCUUGUUGCUUAACACUGUCAUUUCUGUUGUUUUAGUUCUGCAGCUCAUGGACGGGAAAAUGUAUAGUGAAGGCCUAACACUUCUGGGUGGUAGAUUGCUAUAUUAACCUCAAAUUUGUUUUUGAAGUCUUUGCAUAACAAUUGCUAUGUUUAAUAUAAUAGACCUAUUUUCCUAUGUGUUUUGAUUCGACCAUCUCCUGGUGUUCAUGUGUCUUGAUUCAGCUUGUACCUUAAUAAGUAUUUUCCUAUGUGUUUUGAUUCAACCAUCUCCUGGUGUUCAUGUAUCUUGAUUCAGCUUGUACCUUAAUAACUAUUUUCCCAUUUGUUUUCAUUCGACCAUCUCCUGGUGUCAUGUGUAUUGACUUGGCUUGCACCUUAAUAACUAUUUAGCAAUCACAUAAGCCAUGCAAUAUAUUAAUUUGUAGUUUUCCGCAUCGUGUAUAUUGUUUGUUAUUGAUGCCAUUGUUUUUGGCGUAUAUACUUGUUAUUCUCGUUUGUACGUACCGUAAGAUUUCAGAACUUAGGACAAAAUCGUAUCUGCUAUUCUGUUGUGCAUUUUGUAUCUUUCCAGAACCAAAAGAGAAAAGUAGAAUUUACCCCUUCUUAAUGCCUAAUAAAACGGAAUGUUGAACUCGUUCCAUCACUUCCAGAAGGCUGUUUGAUAUAUCGGGAAAAGGGAGUUAUCAACUUUAUGUAUUACAGGAUGUCGCUUUAAGUUCUAGCAUUUUUGUCUUUCUGUAUUGUGGAAACAUAUUAACUUGUGUGGCAUAUUUCUCUAGUGAUGUGAAGUGUAUAUACUAAUGCAGUAUUAUUAGGUUUGUUCUGAUUUCUCUAACGGUGUCUCAAAGUUCUCGAUGUUUGCUAUUUAUAGUGCUCAUGCUGUAUUUGGGGAUUGUUUCCUAGCUCAGGUGUCCACUGAUCAGUGAGGAAGGUUGACGAUGACAACUUAACGACUGAAUCAUCCCCACUGGCAUAAUUAAAGAGAGCUGGAGACAAAUGAACUUGGUGUAUUAAUUCUUUAGGACCUUCAUCAACAGCAGCAGCCACUACUACAUGCUCACACCACAGUAUGUAUUCAGUCAUAACUACUAUAUAGAUACACUUGCCUGAACUGUUAUGCGAACCAUCGUUGGCUGCAUAGCUCUCAUGUUCAUCAUUACUUCUAGCCUCGAUGCAUAGCUCUUAUGCUCUUGCAUUACUGGUAGAGAUUAAAUUGUCAUAGUCCAUUAUAUAAGUUCUCUAGGUUUGAUUGAUUUGCUCUAUCCAAAUCAAAAUAUAAUAAUCAAAAAAAUUAACUGCAAUGUAACUUUGAAAAUGUCUUCACCUUGAACAUUUCUUUAAUUCUUGCUUUCUCUACCACUGAAUGCUAUUAUUUAUAAUCUGCUUCCUCAAUUCCAAAUUAAUUGAAUCUAACCAAAUCUAUAGGAAGCUAUAUCAACAUCUCCACCACAGAAUUAGUUUCAUUAGAUUCAUUGUAAAAUAUAUUUUUGUAAUAGAGUCCACUUGGUUGUUCUUGAUAAUAUAAUAUACCUAUUAGGUUUAUUCUCACAGGUAGAUAGGUGUCUAUAUUUACAUAAGAAAAAUGACACAUAAUUAGUUUGUAACCAUGGCAGUUUUCUUUCCAGUAAUUUGGUAAAGGUACAUGCGGCUGCAUAACAAGGUUAAGCCCUCAGCCUUCUGGCAUGGGUAAGCUCCUAUGCCCUCCAGAAUGAUUUGAAUUAUUUGGCAUUAUGUUGCUCGUGAUUAGCCAUUGAUGUUGUGUUGCUGCAACGAAACACUAUUGUUGAUUAUUGAAAGAAAAGCAUUCCUAGCAUAACUCUUAGGUAUAUAGGUUUACCUAUACCUCAUGAGUGACGUCCAAAUCAUGUGAUUUUUUUAUGUUUUAGAUCAUAAUAAAUACUAUUUCUGUUGUUGUAAUUAACUUGCCAUUUUGUAACAGAAGCAUUUUGUUGUACAGAUUUCCUUGGUGGUGAGAGCUGCAAAGGAAGUUUGAGCUGUAGAGGUGAAGCUGAUGAUAAAGUGUGUGUGUACAACUUGUAUAUUUGUUGAUGUAAUCUGGUUAUUGAGAGCAUUCGAACUAAUGUUGGAUGUGUUCUUUGGCACAUUUUAGAAGGCCUGUACUCAGUGAAGUAAUUGAAUAGAAAUUUAUGAAAUGGUCCAAAUUAUGGGUCUGUUCAAUGGAAGUCAUUUUGUGUUGUGAAUGUUUGAUCAAUUAUCUGUUAUUGGUCGUGAUGUGGCUGGUAGGAUGAAUGGGCCUUAUUAAAAUAAAUGCACUAAACCGCCACACUAAAAAAAUGGGCUAAUGGGCCUGGCAGUGUGCCAUGUCAGAUCCACACCGGCGCCACGUAGAUGCCAUACGAGGUCCAUAUAUUGGUACAGUCAUGUAAAUCCAUGAAGGACUAGUCUGUCAUGGAAUACCGGGCCUAUGGCGGGCCUGGGACUGAUCGGUGACGGCCGAGAACUGUCAUGGUAGUGCAGUUGCCAAAUUAUGACGCGAUAUACAUGACGGAUUCCAAGUCCGUCAUGGACCUCCCUCCUUGAUGGUUUUGCACUGUUCCAUGACAGACUGAAUCCGUCAUGGAUUAACAAGAUUCUUGUAGUGAAUUCGUACUUGCAUCUCAUUCUGAAACUGAACAGUGGUCCAACGAGGAGCUACGGGAACCACAUAAGGAUUCUUUGAGCAGAAGGAUUCCCAAUCCUUGGCUUUCCAAUGGUGGAGUGGCAUUAUCACACAUUGCUUGACAGCGGAAGACUUUUCACGGCGAGUGGGCUUGGUGGGGAUCACAACUUCCUCUUCAGAGUCAGCCGGGCACGGAGCCCGUCGAACCCUCUUCUUGGUCUUGCGAGGAGAAGAGCGAGAACUGGAGCCACCUGAACACAAACACGAAGGGGACACACGAAACCAACAGGAAUGAGAGGAAAGCAUACGGAAAAUGCAACACCAUAGAAACCAGAACAGUGCUAUGUGGUUCAUAUAUUCCGGUUGAACCGGAUCCCCCACCGGUAGAACCGCCCCACCGGUUGUACCGCCCGUCUGGGCGGUAGAACCGCUGACAGUGGCACUACCAGGGUAGUUAGAUCUGUUCAAGACGUGCAAAUCACUCAAGCAAUAUUCGGAGUUCUAUGUACUGCAUAGACACAAGAAAAACAACGAUCUCUCCCAACCAAAGAACAAACACAAAUCUAGGAGGAUAAAGUAAUGCCCUAAAACAAGAAGAAAACCUAGAACAAAGAACGAAGAACAAGGGCAUUACCACCAUCCAUGGGAGAAGACCGGAAGGCUUCCACGGAGAGAAUCCACGGAGAACCCUCGGGUCCGAAGCGCGGGGCGCACUCCGGGGCGAGGCAGAGGUGACCGGCAGCUAGGGCAAGGAGGAGGCGAACAGGGACGAAGGGAGAAAAGAAAAACUCUUUGCCCCGUCGGAUAUAAAUAGGCCCAUAGCCGCGCGGCGGUAGAACCGCUCCUAGGACCGGUUGUAUGGCAAGUCCGGUGCUGACAGAUUGUAGUGGGCGGUGCUUCCGUUUCCUGAAGGGCACCGGAAGUACCGCCCGGAGACAACCGGUAGAACCGGACGGAGAAGCCCCAGUGAAAAUGGGCGGUAUAACUGCCCACGCACCGAAAGCAACCCAACUGGGGCAGCACAACCAGGUAUCAGCGGUAGAACCGCCCGUGACACCGGUUGUACCGCCCGACCACCAAAGCCCAGACCGAAAAGAAGAGAACAAGACAAACGGGACAACAAAAAGUGAAACCAAACACUAAGAGCAGGGAAAAGAUCGAAAGGAAAACAAAAGCAACCGCACACAAGCAGAGCGAGCUCAGUCCUCUCUCUUAAGAGAGGGCGGUGGCCGAAGCCACCUAUGUUUGAGUCUAAUGGUAUGGCACCGCGAAGAAUUAUCCUUGGGUCCAUAACCAAAACUCGUAUUUGAAACACAAGUACCAUCAAAAAUGGCUAAUGCGACAGAGUUGAUCAAUUUAUGCAUAAUGGGGGGAGGGAGAGUUCAUUGAGAGAACAACACUCCCCCUAUCUCCAUGCCUACCCCUAAACUAGACAACAAGUUGAGUGUGGUGAGGGGUGCACGGGUUCAAGUCACAUUGCUCGAAUCAAUGAUAUUUAGCGCAUGCCUUAACUCGCGAAAUCUUGCUUCAUCCAAGGGCUUCGUGAAAAUAUUUGCAAGGUUAUCAUGAGUGUUGACAUACUUGAGCUCGAUCUCCCCUCGCCUAAUGUGAUCCCGGAUGAAAUGAUACCUAAUCUCAAUAUGCUUCGUCUUGAAGUGUUGCACCGGGUUGAGAGAAAUCUUGAUGGCACUUUCGUUGUCACACCAAAGAGGCACUUUGUCACAAGUGACACCGUAUUCCUUUAAAGUUUGCCUCGUCCAUAGGAGUUGUGCACAACAACUAUCGGCCGCCACAUACUCCGCUUCGGUGGACGAGAGAGACACACAACUUUGCUUUUUGGAAGACCAACUUACCAAAGAGCAACCAAGAAAUUGGCACCCUCUGGAAGUGGACUUCCUAUCCACUUUGUCUCCCGCCCAAUCGGAAUCCGUAAACCAUUCAAGCUUGAAGUUUGCCCCCCUUGGGUACCAUAAGCCAAAGUUUGGGGUAUGAGCCAAAUAUCGAAAGAUUCGCUUGACCGCCACAUAGUGACUUUCCUUCGGUGCAGCUUGAAACCGUGCACACAUCCCCACACUCAACAUGAUAUCCGGUCUAGAUGCACAAAGGUAAAGCAAGGAGCCAAUCAUGGAGCGAUAUACCUUUUGAUCCACCGCUUUACCAUUGGGAUCAAUGUCAAGUUGGCACUUGGUGGGCAUUGGAGUAGAGGCCGGCUUGACAUCACUUAACUUGAAUCUCUUGAGCAUAUCUUGAGUGUAUUUGGUUUGGUUGAUGAAGGUACCUUCUCUUCUUUGUUUGAUAUCAAAACCAAGGCAGAACUUCAACUCUCCCAUCGAAGACAUCUUGAACUUAGAGGUCAUGAGAGCAUCAAAUUCUUCAUUGAAGGCUUUGUUAGGGGAACCAAAGAUAAUGUCAUCAACAUAUAGUUGGCAUACAAAAAACUCCCCUUUGACCUUCUUAGUAAAAAGAGUGGGAUCGAUUAGCCCCACUUCAAAUCCACGAUCUUGUAACAACUCGGUAAGGUGGUCAUACCACGCACGUGGGGCUUGUUUAAGGCCAUAGAGCGCCUUAUCGAGUUGAUACACAUGAUCCGGGAAGAAGGGAUCCUCGAACCCGGGGGUUUGCUUGACAUAGACCAACUCAUUAAUAGGACCAUUAAGAAAAGCACUUUUAACAUCCAUUUGUUGCAACUUAAAGUUGUGAUGGGAAGCAUAAGCAAUCAACAAACAAAUGGAUUCAAGGCGAGCAACGGGAGCAAAGGUUUCACCGUAGUCGAUACCCUCGACUUGGGAGUAGCCUUGUGCUACCAAUCUUGCCUUGUUGCGAAUGAUGUUCCCAUGAGCAUCUUGCUUGUUCUUGAAGAUCCACUUGGUUCCAAUGAUGUUAUGGUUCCCGGAAGGCCUUGGCACCAAUCUCCACACCUUGUUGUACUCGAAGUUGUUGAGUUCUUCAUGCAUGGCAUUAAGCCAAUCCGAGUCUUCGAGCGCCUCAUAGACCUUAUGGGGUUCAACACAAGAGACAAACGCGUGAUGUUCACAAUAGUUUGCUAAUUGUCUACGAGUGCUUACCCCCUUUCUUAGGCUUCCAACCACAUUCUCCAUGAGAUGACCUUUGGUGGUGAGUUUGGAAGCAAUCUUCGCGGCACGACGCUCCAAUUCCUCCUCGGAUGUCGAAGGAGGAGGGUUCACUUGAUCAUCUUGAGCGUCGUCAUGAGCUUGUUCUUGAUCUUGAACUUGCUCGAGGGGAAGAACUUGACCUUGGGAAUCAUGUAGAGGUUCACCACCAUCUUGUGGUUGAUCUUGCCCUUGGUCUAGUUCAUGAGGGUGAGGGCCUUCACUUUGUUCUUCGGUAGCGUGUGGGUCUUGGGGAGGUGAUGGAUCCACUUGAGUGGAGCAUUGUCCUUCUCCUUCGGCCACAAGGGGUUCCUCAAUGGGUAGGAUAUGACCAAUACCCAUUCUUCUUAUGUCUUGGGGAGGAAUUCCAUCACCUACAUCACAAGUACCACUUUGCUCCACUUGGGAGCCGUUAUUUUCGUCAAACUCUACGUUACACGUCUCCUCAAUGAGUCUGUUGGACUUGUUGAGAACACGGUAAGCAUGAGAGUUUGUAGCAUAACCAACAAAUAUGCCCUCAUGAGCUCUAGCCUCGAAUUUAGACAAGCGAACACCUUUCUUGAGAAUGAAACACUUACACCCAAACACUCGAAAGUACUUGAGAUUGGGCUUGUUCCCGGUGAGUAUCUCAUACGGAGUCUUGUUCAAGCCUUUGCGGAGAUAGAGCCGAUUGGAUGCAUGACAUGCUGUGUUGAUGGCUUCGGCCUAAAAGUUGUAUGGAGACUUGAACUCCACCAUCAUGGUUCUUGCCGCAUCCAUCAACGUCCGGUUCUUCCUCUCCGCAACACCAUUUUGUUGAGGGGUAUAUGGUGCAGAAUAUUGAUGCUUGAUCCCUUCAUCACUCAGAAACUCAUCCAGGGUGUAGUUCUUGAACUCGGUGCCGUUGUCACUUCUUAUUGUCAGGAUCUUUGCAUUAUGUUGACGUUGAGCUUCAUUUGCAAAGUCGAUGACGGUUUGUUGAGUCUCACUCUUCCUCUUGAAGAAGUAUACCCAAGUGUAUCUUGAAUAAUCAUCCACAAUCACCAAGCAAUACUUUCUACCCCCAAGACUAUCAAAAGAUGGAGGGCCGAAGAGGUCCAUGUGUAGGAGCUCCAAGGGUCUCUUCGAGUAGAUGAUAGUCGUGGGAGGGUGAGCCUUCUCAUGAAGCUUUCCUUCGAUACAAGCACUGCAAACACGAUCUUUGGCAAAAAUAACAUUCGUUAGUCCAUGAACAUGGUCCCCCUUGAGAAGACUUUGCAAAGACCUCAUAUUGACGUGGGCUAAACGGAGAUGCCAAAGCCAUCCCACAUCAACUUUAGCCAUUAGGCAUGUCGCGGUCUUAGUGGGUUGCUCCGAAAAGUUAAUCACAUAGAGACCGUUCUCGACAUGCCCAACAAAGGCUACUUUAAGAGUCUUGCUCCACAAGAGGGCCAUGGUAUCAAUAUCAAAGAAGGUGGCAAAGCCCAUGAGUGCGAGUUGACAAACGGAAAGUAAAUUGAACGCAAGGGACUCAACAAGCAUGACUUUCUCGAUCGUUAGAUCAUGAGAAAUGACAACCUUGCCAAGACCCAAUACCUUAGAAUGUGAGGCAUCACCCCAUUCUACAUUGGUGGGCAUAGAUGGGAUCUUGUGCACGUCCACCACCAAGUCCUUGCUCCCGGUCAUAUGAUUUGUUGCUCCACUAUCGAGCAACCAUGAUCCCCCACCGGAAGCAAACACCUACAAGAGAUCAAUGCUUGGUUUUAGGUACCCAUUGAGUAAUGGGUCUUUUGAUGUUAGUAACAAGGGUCUUAGGAACCCAAAUAGACCAUUCAAUGUACUCAUAAGGAGAACCAACAAAUUUAGCAUAAACAUGCCCAUCACUAGCACGGCACAACACAUAAGAUGGUUUAAAGUCGCCGGCUUUGUUGGGAGAGAUGGCUUUGCACUCUUUGGCAUCACCACUCUUCCCAUUGUUCUUCUUCUCCUUAGGAGCACCUUCUCCCUCCUUCACAAAGGUUUGCGUGAGCGGAGGAGGUCGAUCGGUCUUGCUCUUCUUCUCCUUGUUCUUCUUCUUCUUCUUGGACUUGGGUGAGAACCCAACUCCCUCCUUGCCCACAACUUCCUUUUGAUUGCUCAAAAGGUCAUUUAGGUUCUUCUCGCCUUGUAUGCAUGACACAAGACCUUUCUCGAGUUGUUCCUUCAACUUGGCAUUCUCCUCCACAAGAUGCACAUGCUCACAACAAGGGUUAGUAGCAUUUGCAUUAUCAAUUAAGACCAUGUGAGGAAAUGUGGCCUUUUCCUUGGUUAGCUUAACUUGGAGUUGAGCAUGAGACUCCUUGAGGGUAGCAUGAGCACCUUUCAAGACCUUGUGGGCCUUGUCAAGUACAUCAAACUCCUCCGUGAGUCUAACAUGAUCAACCCCAAGUUUAGCCUUCUCGGAAGCUAGAACACGAGACACAACAAGAGCAUGAUCAAGAUCUUUUUUUAGUUUAGCAUGACCAUCGUUGUGUGACUCCUCAAGAGCCAAACGAUGCUCACACUCUUCCUCAAGAGCAUUAGAGAGAUCCGAUAUCUCAUCGGCAUAGUCACGACUAUGACUUUCCAUCUUAGAGAUGGUUUCUUCGUGAGCCUCGAUCAUGUCAUUGGCUUCACCAAGUUGUUCCAAGAGAGCAACAAAGUGCUUCUUGGAUUUGCCCUUGAGCUUACUCAUGAAGGACUCAAAUUCAUUGAUCUCCUCAUUAGACCCCUUACCAUUAUCAAAGUCAUCCGUUGAAGGAGGGUUAGGAAUAAUGGUGGUUUUGAUGUUGGAGGUUACCUUGUUGGUGGCCUUAGCCAUGAGGCACUUGGCGGUGAUGUUCUCGUUAGGUGCAUCGAAGAGAGACACUCGGGGAGUUGUGACAAUGGCAACGGAUGCCAUGGCCAUUGUUUCAUCACCUUCAUCAUCAUCGUCAUCCUCACAGUAUUCUUCUUGAACCACCAACCCGCGAGACGGAGUCUUCUUGGUGAAGUUGUUCUUGUUUGGGAAGGACUUGGCUUUGUCUUUUCGGAUGAACUUGCCACCAUUGUCUUCCCGCUUCUCGUAGGGACAAUCCGCAACGAAAUGGCUAACAUUGCCACAGUUGAAACAGGUUCUAACUCGUUGCUUCCCCUUGAGGCCACUUGAGUUGUUCUUUUUGAAGUUGGGUCUUGUAUUCUUCUUACUCCAAAACUGUCUUGAGGCAAGAGCCAUGUGCUCAUGAUAAUCAUACUUCGUGUCCUCGGGGUUGCUCUCCUCAUCUUCCUCAUCUGCUUCUUCUUCCACACUAACCUUGGCCUUCAAGGCAAGAUUGGGCUUCUUUGCCCUUUGGGAACGGAGCACCGCAUUGUCGGCGGUCUUGUCCAAGAUGCUCAUUGCAACAAACUCAUCCAACACUUCACCAGAGGUCAUGGAGUGGAAGUCCGGUCUUUGGUGAAUGAUGGAGGACAUGGCCUUGUUGUAGGGCAUCAUGGCCUUGAGGAACUUGCGCUUGAUCCAAUUGUCAUCCGUGUCCUUGCUCCCAUGAUCUCUGAGUGCGACCGCGAGUUUGGUCACUCUUCGAAAGAGCUCACGAGGUUCUUCAUCCUCUUUCAUUGCAAACUCAUCGGCUUCAUCUUGCACCACUUCAUAGUUGGAGCGUUGAAUGCUAGAACUUCCUUGAUAGAGACGCUUGACACAUUUCCAUGCUUCUUUAGCCAUGGCAUGAGGUCGAAGAUGAGGGAGAUCUUCGGGAAGGAUUGCAUCUUGGAUGAUGAAGAGAGCACUCUCAUUGAAUUGAUUGUCCACUUCUUCUCGAGGGGUGAAGUUGCUUGGGUCAUGACGAUAGAAACCUUCUUCAAUGAUUCUCCAAAGGUUAGUAUUCACAUGUUUUAAAUGACGCUUGAAGCGAUAAACCCAAGAAUCAAAAUCUUCAUUUUUCACAUAUUUAGGAGGAGGACCGGCAUGAUUCAAAUGAGUAGAGGGGAUCGGUCCUCUAUACACUGGGGGUUCCACAUUGGCAAAGAUGCCGGUGCCAUUUCUACCACUAGUAGAAGGACUCUUUUCAUUAUUAGCUUCCCCCUUGUCGGAGGUAGCAUCCGUCACCUUGUUAGUGGGAUCACCCACUUUCAACGGCGAGGUAGAUAGUUUAAGUCCUUCUAGAAAUUCAGUAAACAUGCUUUUAACCUCGACCAUCAUGGAGGUUUUCAAUGUGUCUAAAGCCACAUUGAAUUCCUCACGUGAGACCGAGGUUCCCCCUUCAGCCGAAGACGAGAUGGGAUUCACACCGGAGUGUUCCUCCGCACUGUCGUUGGUGUCAACCAUACUCUUCGAACGGCAAAGUCCUUAAUAAAGAGACGAGGCUCUGAUACCAAUUGAAAGGAUCGAUAUGGUUGACUAGAGGGGGGGGUGAAUAGGCAACUAACAAUUUUUAAGCUUUUCUUUACCAAAUUAAACUUUGGAACAAAAUAGGUUGUCUAGAUAUGCAACUAUGUGAGCAACCUAUAUGAUGCAAUAACAACUAACACAAGAGCAAGCAAGGGAUACAACACAAGUAGGCUUGCAAGAGUAAAGGCACGAAAUAACCAAGAGUGGAGCCGUUGGAGACGAGGAUGUGUUACCGGAGUUCCUUCCUUUUAAGGGGAAGUACAUCUCCGUUAGAGCGGUGUGGAGGCACAAUGCUCCCCAAGAAGCCACUAGGGCCACCGUAUUCUCCUCACGCCCUUACACAAUGCAAGAUGCCGUGAUUCCACUAUUGGUGCCCUUGAAGGCGGCAACCGGACCUUUACAAACAAGGUUGGGGCAAUCUCCACAACAAUUGGAGGCUCCCAACGAAACCACGAAGCUUCACCACAAUGGAAUAUGGCCUCGAGGUGACCUCAACCAUGUAGGGUGCUCAAACACCAAAGAGUAACAAAAUCCACUCUAGAAAGUAUGGGGGAAGUAAAUAUCCUUUGGUGGAACUGUAGAUAUAGGUCUCCUCCUUCAAACCCUAGCAAAUCAACAAGUUUGAGUGGCUACAGAGAGAGAUCGGGCAAGAGAGCUUGAGAGCAUCAAUGGUGGAGUGAGAGAGGUAAGAGGUGGGCGUGGUAGGUGGAGGAACCACCUUAUAUAGCAGCCCACUAAAAUCCAACUGUUACCGCGUUUUCAGUACUGCAGCGGUACAACCGCUCCUUGUCCUGGUACAACCGGGACUCACGAUGUAGCUGCAGAACCCUACCAGGCGGUACAACCGGGCCAUCGGGCGGUAGUACCGGUCAUUAGCAAAUAACCGGACCAACCGCCCAGCCACCGCACAACUACCGCACCGAAACAGAACGGAGUCACCCUUGAGGACGGUAGUUGGGCGGUGCAGGGCCGGUGCAACCGCCUGGCCUUGAUCGCUUGAGCGGCUAAGGAAUGAGCGGAAGAACCGCUCGAACCUCCGGUUGUACUGGUUGAAAAGGAACAACCGGACCAACCGGGCCACCACCGCCCAGCCAUCGCAUCAGAACAAAAGCCUGACCGGUACAUGGGCGGUGCAUGGCCGGAACAACCGGUGCUGGUCAUUGCAGAGACAGGUGGCGGUACCACCGCUCGACAAUGGCAGAGAAGCGUCAGGAGCCAGCGGUACUACCGCUCGGACGAGCGGUACAACCGCUGGGAAUACACAGCAAAGAUUAGAUUAAAAUGGAGGCACUCUCUCGACAAGAAGAGGGGUGAUGGAGGUGUACGAGAAUGGAAUCCCCUAUUCUUUCCAAAGUGGAUUCCCUCUUGAUAGUACGGGAUCCCUACGACCAAAGAGAUAAAAGCGUAGAGGAUUCUGUCUUCAACGAUUCCUUCGAGAGAGAACCACUAAUCGAUGAAAGUCUAAUCAUUGAGAACUUGAAACAUUUAGCACAGGAUUAGACCAACAAAGGGUUGUCAUGAUCAUCCAAAACAUAAGGAAGGGAAUUGCCCUUUCAUAUGUAACUAUUUAUAUUCUAAACGUAAUUUAUUUAGAAAGCGGUCGUAAGAUUACCUCAGGUGAAGAAUAACUUAUUCUGCACCUGGAUGACAAAUAGUAACAUGUUAAAAUAUUCAAAAUGUCUUAUAACUCAGAACAGAGGUGAUACUCCCCAAAAGAAGUGGUCUAGUUUAAGAAUGCUACUUGUUGGCUACUACCUCCGUCCUGAUUUAUUAGUCCCCUUUCGUAAUCUAUGCCACAUUUUGAUCUUAAAUUUAACUAACAAAAUGUUAAUGCAUGUCAUAAAAGAUAAUAUAAUUGAAAACUAUGUUCAAAUAUUUUGUUAGUUAAAUCUCUAGUCAAAAUUUGGCCUAAAAUACAAAGGGAACUUAUAAACCACGACGGAGCUAGUACAUGCUAAAACAGAAAAAACUACUCCCUCCAUUCCAUAAUGUAAGACGUUUUUUGGCACUACACUAGUGUUAAAAAACGUCUUAUAUUAUGGGACGGAGAGAGCAUAUUUUUGUGUUUUUAUACCAAAUUUUACAUAUUGAAUCAAUAUGUAUGUAACUAUUCAUAUUCUAAACGUAAUUUUUUUAGAAAGCGGUCGUAAGAUUACCUCGGGUGAAGAAUAACUUAUUCUGCACCUGGAUGACGAAUAGUAACAUGUUAAAAUAUUCAAAAUGUCUUAUAACUCGGAACAGAGGUGAUACUCCCCAAAAGAAGUGGUCUAGUUUAAGAAUGCUACUUGUUGGCUACUACCUACGUCCUGAUUUAUUAGUCCCCUUUCGUAAUCUAUGCCACAUUUUGAUCUUAAAUUUAACUAACAAAAUGCUAAUGCAUGUCAUAAAAGAUAAUAUAAUUGAAAACUAUGUUCAAAUAUUUUGUUAGUUAAAUCUCUAGUCAAAAUUUGGCCUAAAAUAGAAAGGGAACUUAUAAACUAGGACGGAGGUAGUACAUGCUAAAACAGAAAAAACUACUCCCUCCGUUCCACAAUGUAAGACGUUUUUUGGCACUACACUACUAUUAAAAAACGUCUUAUAUUAUGGGACGGAGAGAGUAUAUUUUUGUGUUUUUAUACCAAAUUUUACAUAUUGAUCAAUAUGUAUGUAACUAUUUAUAUUCUAAACGUAAUUUAUUUAGAAAGCGGUCAUAAGAUUACCUCGGGUGAAGAAUAACUUAUUAUGCACCUGGAUGACGAAUAGUAACAUGUUAAAAUAUUCAAAAUGUCUUAUAACUCAGAACAGAGGUGAUACUCCCCAAAAGAACUGGUCUAGUUUAAGAAUGCUACUUGUUGGCUACUACCUUUGUCCUGAUUUAUUAGUCCCCUUUCGUAAUCUAUGCCACAUUUUGAUCUAAAAUUUAACUAAUAAAAUGUUAAUGCAUGUCAUAAAAGAUAAUAUAAUUGAAAACUAUGUUCAAAUAUUUUGUUAGUUAAAUCUCUAGUCAAAAAUUUGGCCUAAAAUACAAAGGGAACUUAUAAACCAGGACGGGGGUAGUACAUGCUAAAACAGAAAAAACUACUCCCUCCGUUCCAUAAUAUAAGACGUUUUUUGGCACUACACUAGUGUUAAAAAACGUCUUAUAUUAUGGAACGGAGAGAGUAUAUUUUUGUGUUUUUAUACCAAAUUUUACAUAUUGAAUCAAUAUGUAUGUAACUAUUUAUAUUCUAAACGUAAUUUAUUUAGAAAGCGGUCGUAAGAUUACCUCGGGUGAAGAAUAACUUAUUCUGCACCUGGAUGACGAAUAGUAACAUGUUAAAAUAUUCAAAAUGUCUUAUAACUCAGAACAGAGGUGAUACUCCCCAAAAGAAGUGGUCUAGUUUAAGAAUGCUACUUGUUGCCUACUACCUCCGUCCUGAUUUAUUAGUCCCCUUUCGUAAUCUAUGCUACAUUUUGAUCUUAAAUUUAACUAACAAAAUGUUAAUGCAUGUCAUAAAAGAUAAUAUAAUUGAAAACUAUGUUCAAAUAUUUUGUUAGUUAAACCUCUAGUCAAAAUUGGCCUAAAAUACAAAGGGAACUUAUAAACCAGGACGGAGGUAGUACAUGCUAAAACAGAAAAAACCACUCCUUCCGUUCCAUAAUGUAAGACGUUUUUUGGCACUACACUAGUGUUAAAAAUGUCUUAUAUUAUGGGACGGAGAGAGUAUAUUUUUGUGUUUUUAUUCCAAAUUUUACAUAUUGAAUCAAUAUGUAUGUAACUAUUUAUAUUCUAAACGUAAUUUACUUACAAAGCGGUCGUAAGAUUACCUCGGGUGAAGAAUAAUUUAUUAUGCACCUGUAUGACGAAUAGUAACAUGUUAAAAUAUUCAAAAUGUCUUAUAACUCAGAACAGAGGUGAUACUCCCCAAAAUAAGUGGUCUAGUUUAAGAAUGCUACUUGUUGGCUACUACCUCCGUCCUGAUUUAUUAGUCCCGUUUCGUAAUCUAUGCCACAUUUUGAUCUUAAAUUUAACUAACAAAAUGUUAAUGCAUGUCAUAAAACAUAAUAUAAUUGAAAACUAUGUUCAAAUAUUUUGUUAGUUAAAUCUCUAGUCAAAAUUUGGCGUAAAAUACAAAGGGAACUUACAAACCAGGACGGAGGUAGUACAUGCUAAAACAAAAAAAACUACUCCCUCCGUUCCAUAAUUUAAGACGUUUUUUGGCACUACACUAGUGUUAAAAAACGUCUUAUAUUAUGGGACGGAGAGAGAGUAUAUUUUUGUGUUUUUAUACCAAAUUUCACAUAUUGAAUCAAUAUGUAUGUAACUAUUUAUAUUCUAAACGUAAUUUAUUUAGAAAGCAGUCGUAAGAUUACCUCGGGUGAAGAAUAACUUAUUUUGCACCUGGAUGACGAAUAGUAACAUGUUAAAAUAUUCAAAAUGUCUUAUAACUAAGAACAGAGGUGAUACUCCUCAAAAGAAGUGGUCUAGUUUAAGAAUGCUACUUGUUGGCUACUACCUCCGUCCUGAUUUAUUAGUCCCGUUUCGUAAUCUAUGCCACAUUUUGAUCUUAAAUUUAACUAACAAAAUGUUAAUGCAUGUCAUAAAAGACAAUAUAAUUGAAAACUAUGUUCAAAUAUUUUGUUAGUUAAAUCUCUAGUCAAAAUUUGGCCUAAAAUACAAAGGGAACUUACAAACCAGGACGGAGGUAGUACAUGCUAAAACAGAAAAACCACUCCCUCCGUUCCAUAAUGUAAGACGUUUUUUGGCACUACACUAGUGUUAAAAAACGUCUUACAUUAUGGGACGGAGAGAGUAUAUUUUUGUGUUUUUAUACCAAAUUUUACAUAUUGAAUCAAUAUGUAUGUAACUAUUUAUAUUCUAAACGUAAUUUAUUUAAAUAGCGGUCGUAAGAUUACCUCGGGUGAAGAAUAACUUAUUAUGCACCUGGAUUACGAAUAGUAACAUGUUAAAAUAUUCAAAAUGUCUUAUAACUAAGAACAGAGGUGAUACUCCCCAAAAUAAAGUCGUCUAGUUUAAGAAUGUUACUUGUUGGCUACUACCUCCAUCCUGAUUUAUUAGUCCCCUUUCGUAAUCUAUGUCAAAUUUUGAUCUUAAAUUUAUCAAGCAAAAUGUUAAUGCAUGUCAUAAAAGAUAAUAUAAUUGGAAACUAUGUUCAAAUAUUUUGUUAGUUAAAUCUCUAGUCAAAAUUUGGCAUAAAAUACGAAGGGAACUUACAAACCAGGACGGAGGUAGUACAUGCUAAAACAGAAAAAACUACUCCCUUCGUUCCAUAAUGUAAGACGUUUUUUGGCACUACACUAGUGUUAAAUAACGUCUUAUAUUAUGGGAUGGAAGAGUAUAUUUUUGUGUUUUCAUACCAAAUUUUACAUAUUGAAUCAAUAUGUAUGUAACUAUUUAUAUUCUAAACAUAAUUUAUUUAGAAAGCGGUCGUAAGAUUACCUCGGGUGAAGAAUACCUUAUUAUGCACCUGGAUGACGAAUAGUAACAUGUUAAAAUAUUCAAAAUGUCUUAUAACUCAGAACAGAGGUGAUACUCCCCAAAAGAACUGGUCUAGUUUAAGAAUGCUACUUGUUGGCUACUACCUCCGUCCUGUUUUAUUAGUCCCCUUUCGUAAUCUAUGCCACAUUUUGAUCUUAAGUUUAACUAACAAAAUGUUAAUGCAUGUCAUAAAAGAUAUUAUAAUUGAAAACUAUGUUCAAAUAUUUUGUCAGUUAAAUCUUUAGUCAAAAUUUGGCCUAAAAUACAAAGGGAACUUAUAAAUCAGGACGGAGGUAGUACAUGCUAAAACAGAAAAAACUACUCCCUCCGUUCCAUAGUGUAAGACGUGUUUUGGCACUACACUAGUGUUAAAAAACGUCUUAUAUUAUGGGACGGAGAGAGUAUAUUUUUGUGUUUUUAUACCAAAUUUUACAUAUUGAAUCAAUAUGUGUGUGACUAUUUAUAUUCUAAAUGUAAUUUAUUUAAAAAGCGGUCGUAAGAUUACCUAGGGUGAAGAAUAACUUAUUAUGCACCUGGAUGACGAAUAGUAAAAUGUUAAAAUAUUCAAAAUGUCUUAUAACUCAGAACAGAGGUGAUACUCCCCAAAAAAAGUGGUCUAGUUUAAGAAUGCUACUUGUUGGCUACUACCUCCGUCCUGAUUUAUUAGUCCCCUUUCGUAAUCUAUGCCACAUUUUGAUCUUAAAUUUAACUAAUAAAAUGUUAAUGCAUGUCAUAAAAGAUAAUAUAAUUGAAAACUAUGUUCAAAUAUUUUGUUAGUUAAAUCUCUAGUCAAAAUUUGGCCUAAAAUACAAAGGGAACUUAUAAACCAGGACGGGGUAGUACAUGUUAAAACAGAAAAAACUACUCCCUCCGUUCCAUAAUAUAAGACGUUUUUUGGCACUACACUAGUGUUAAAAAACGUCUUAUAUUAUGGAACGGAGAGAGUAUAUUUUUGUGUUUUUAUACCAAAUUUUACAUAUUGAAUCAAUACGUAUGUAAUUAUUUAUAUUCUAAACGUAAUUUAUUUAGAAAGCGGUCGUAAGAUUACCUCGGGUGAAGAAUAACUUAUUCUGCACCUGGAUAACGAAUAGUAACAUGUUAAGAUAUUCAAAAUGUCUUCUAACUCAGAACAGAGGUGAUACUCCCCAAAACAAGUGGUCUAGUUUAAGAAUGCUACUUGUUGGCUACUACCUCCGUCCUGAUUUAUUAGUCCCCUUUCGUAAUCUAUGCUACAUUUUGAUCUUAAAUUUUAACUAACAAAAUGUUAAUGCAUGUCAUAAAAGAUAAUAUAAUUGAAAACUAUGUUCAAAUAUUUUGUUCGUUAAAUCUCUAGUCAAAAUUGGCCUAAAAUACAAAGGGAACUUAUAAACCAGGACGGAGGUAGUACAUGCUAAAACAGAAAAAACCACUCCAUCCGUUCCAUAAUGUAAGCCGUUUUUUGGCACUACACUAGUGUUAAAAAAUGUCUUAUAUUAUGGGACGGAGAGAGUAUAUUUUUGUGUUUUUAUACCAAAUUUUACAUAUUGAAUAAAUAUGUAUGUAACUAUUUAUAUUGUAAACGUAAUUUACUUAGAAAGCGGUCGUAAGAUUACGUCGGGUGAAGAAUAAUUUAUUAUGCACCUGGAUGACGAAUAGUAACAUGUUAAAAUAUUCAAAAUGUCUUAUAACUCAGAACAGAGGUGAUACUCCCCAAAAGAAGUGGUCUAGUUUAAGAAUGCUACUUGUUGGCUACUACCUCCGUCCUGAUUUAUUAGUCCCGUUUCGUAAUCUAUGCCACAUUUUGAUCUUAAAUUUAACUAACAAAAUGUUAAUGCAUGUCAUAAAAGAUAAUAUAAUUGAAAACUAUGUUCAAAUAUUUUGUUAGUUAAAUCUCUAGUCAAAAUUUGGCCUAAAAUACAAAGGGAACUUACAAACCAAGACGGAGGUAGUACAUGCUAAAACAAAAGGAACUACUCCCUCCGUUCCAUAAUGUAAGACGUUUUUUGGCACUACACUAGUGUUAAAAAACGUCUUAUAUUAUGGGACGGAGAGAGUAUAUUUUUGUGUUUUUAUACCAAAUUUCACAUAUUGAAUCAAUAUGUAUGUAACUAUUUAUAUUCUAAAUGUAAUUUAUUUAGAAAGCGGUCGUAAGAUUACCUCGGGUGAAGAAUAACUUAUUCUGAACCUGGAUGACGAAUAAUAACAUGUUAAAAUAUUCAAAAUGUCUUAUAACUCAGAACAGAGGUGAUACUCCCCAAAAGAAGUGGUCUAGUUUAAGAAUGCUACUUGUUGGCUACUACCUCCGUCCUGAUUUAUUAGUCCCGUUUCGUAAUCUAUGCCACAUUUUGAUCUUAAAUUUAACUAACAAAAUGUUAAUGCAUGUCACAAAAGAUAAUAUAAUUGAAAACUAUGUUCAAAUAUUUUGUUAGUUAAAUCUCUAGUCAAAAUUUGGCCUAAAAUACAAAGGGAACUUACAAACCAGGACGGAGGUAGUACAUGCUAAAACAGAAAAAACUACUCCCUCCGUUCCAUAAUGUAAGACGUUUUUUGGCACUACACUAGUGUUAAAAAACGUCUUAUAUUAUGGGACGGAGAGAGUAUAUUUUUGUGUUUUUAUACCAAAUUUUACAUAUUGAAUCAAUAUGUAUGUAACUAUUUAUAUUCUAAACGUAAUUUAUUUAAAAAGCGGUCGUAAGAUUACCUCGGGUGAAGAAUAACUUAUUCUGCACCUGGAUGACGAAUAGUAACAUGUUAAAAUAUUCAAAAUGUCUUAUAACUCAGAACAGAGGUGAUACUCCCCAAAAGAAGUGGUCUAGUUUAAGAAUGUUACUUGUUGGCUACUACCUCCAUCCUGAUUUAUUAGUCCCCUUUCGUAAUCUAUGUCAAAUUUUGAUCUCAAAUUUAUCUAGCAAAAUGUUAAUGCAUGUCAUAAAAGAUAAUAUAAUUGGAAACUAUGUUCAAAUAUUUUGUUAGUUAAAUCUCUAGUCGAAAUUUCGCCUAAAAUACAAAGGGAACUUAUAAACCAGGACGGAGGUAGUACAUGCUAAAACAAAAGAAACUACUCCCUCCGUUCCAUAAUCUAAGACGUUUUUUGGCACUACACUAGUGUUAAAAACGUCUUAUAUUAUGGGACGGAGAGAGUAUUUUUUUGUGUUUUUAUACCAAAUUUACAUAUUGAAUCAAUAUGUAUGUAACUAUUUAUAUUCUAAACGUAAUUUAUUUAGAAAGCGGUUGUAAGAUUACCUUUGGUGAAAAAUAACUUAUUCUGCACCUGGAUGACGAAUAGUAACAUGUUAAAAUAUUCAAAAUGUUUUAUAACUCAGAACAGAGGUGAUACUCCCCAAAAGAAGUGGUCUAGUUUAAGAAUGCUACUUGUUGGCUACUACCUCCGUCCUCAUUUAUUAGUCCCCUUUCGUAAUCUAUGCCACAUUUUGAUCUUAAAUUUAACUAACAAAAUGUUAAUGCAUGUCAUAAAAGAUAAUAUAAUUAAAAAACUAUGUUCAAAUAUUUUGUUAGUUAAAUCUCUAGUCAAAAUUUGGCCUAAAAUACAAAGUGAACUCAUAAACUAGGACGGAGGUAGUACAUGCUAAAACAGAAAAAACUACUCCCUCCGUUCCAUAAUAUAAGACGGUUUUUGGCACUACACUAGUGUUAAAAAACGUCUUAUAUUAUGGGACGGAGCGAGUAUAUUUUUUUGUUUUUAUACCAAAUUUUACAUAUUGAAUCAAUAUGUAUGUAACUAUUUAUAUUCUAAACGUAAUUUAUUUAGAAAGCGGUCGUAAGAUUACCUCGGGUGAAGAAUAACUUAUUCUGCACCUGGAUGAUGAAUAGUAACAUGUUAAAAUAUUCAAAAUGUCUUAUAACUCAGAACAGAGGUGAUACUUUCCAAAAGAAGUGGUCUAGUUUAAGAAUGCUACUUGUUGGCUACUACCUCCGUCCUGAUUUGUUAGUCCCCUUUCGUAACCUAUGCCACAUUUUGAUCUUAAAUUUAACUAACAAAAUGUUAAUGCAUGUCAUAAAAGAUAAUAUAAUUGAAAACUAUGUUCAAAUAUUUUGUUACUUAAAUCUCUAGUCAAAAUUUGGCCUAAAAUACAAAGGGAACUUAUAAACCAGGACGGAGGUGGUACAUGCUAAAACAGAAAAAAAACUACUCCCUCCGUUCCAUAAUGUAAGACGUUUUUUGGCACUACACUAGUGUUAAAAAUCGUCUUAUAUUAUGGGACGGAGAGAGUAUAUUUUUGUGUUUUUAUACCAAAUGUUACAUAUUGAAUCAAUAUGUAUGUAACUAUUUAUAUUCUAAACGUAAUUUAUUUAGAAAGCAGUCGUAAGAUUACCUCGGGUGAAGAAUAACUUAUUUUGCACCUGGAUGACGAAUAGUAACAUGUUAAAAUAUUCAAAAUGUCUUAUAACUAAGAACAGAGGUGAUACUCCUCAAAAGAAGGGGUCUAGUUUAAGAAUGUACUUGUUGGCUACUACCUCCGUCCUGAUUUAUUAGUCCCGUUUCGUAAUCUAUGCCACAUUUUGAUCUUAAAUUUAACUAACAAAAUGUUAAUGCAUGUCAUAAAAGACAAUAUAAUUGAAAACUAUGUUCAAAUAUUUUGUUAGUUAAAUCUCUAGUCAAAAUUUGGCCUAAAAUACAAAGGGAACUUACAAACCAGGACGGAGUUAGUACAUGCUAAAACAGAAAAACCACUCCCUCCGUUCCAUAAUGUAAGACGUUUUUUGGCACUACACUAGUGUUAAAAAACGUCUUACAUUAUGGGACGGAGAGAGUAUAUUUUUGUGUUUUUAUACCAAAUUUUACAUAUUGAAUCAAUAUGUAUGUAACUAUUUAUAUUCUAAACGUAAUUUAUUUAAAUAGCGGUCGUAAGAUUACCUCGGGUGAAGAAUAACUUAUUAUGCACCUGGAUGACGAAUAGUAACAUGUUAAAAUAUUCAAAAUGUCUUAUAACUAAGAACAGAGGUGAUACUCCCCAAAAUAAAGUCGUCUAGUUUAAGAAUGUUACUUGUUGGCUACUACCUCCAUCCUGAUUUAUUAGUCCCCUUUCGUAAUCUAUGUCAAAUUUUGAUCUUAAAUUUGUCAAGCAAAAUGUUAAUGCAUGUCAUAAAAGAUAAUAUAAUUGGAAACUAUGUUCAAAUAUUUUGUUAGUUAAAUCUCUAGUCAAAAUUUGGCAUAAAAUACGAAGGGAACUUACAAACCAGGACGGAGGUAGUACAUACUAAAACAGAAAAAACUACUCCCUUCGUUCCAUAAUGUAAGACGUUUUUUGGCACUACACUAGUGUUAAAUAACGUCUUAUAUUAUGGGAUGGAAGAGUAUAUUUUUGUGUUUUCAUACCAAAUUUUACAUAUUGAAUCAAUAUGUAUGUAACUAUUUAUAUUCUAAACAUAAUUUAUUUAGAAAGCGGUCGUAAGAUUACCUCGGGUGAAGAAUACCUUAUUAUGCACCUGGAUGACGAAUAGUAACAUGUUAAAAUAUUCAAAAUGUCUUAUAACUCAGAACAGAGGUGAUACUCCCCAAAAGAACUGGUCUAGUUUAAGAAUGCUACUUGUUGGCUACUACCUCCGUCCUGUUUUAUUAGUCCCCUUUCGUAAUCUAUGCCACAUUUUGAUCUUAAGUUUAACUAACAAAAUGUUAAUGCAUGUCAUAAAAGAUAUUAUAAUUGAAAACUAUGUUCAAAUAUUUUGUCAGUUAAAUCUUUAGUCAAAAUUUGGCCUAAAAUACAAAGUGAACUUAUAAAUCAGGACGGAGGUAGUACAUGCUAAAACAGAAAAAACUACUCCCUCCGUUCCAUAGUGUAAGACGUGUUUUGGCACUACACUAGUGUUAAAAAACGUCUUAUAUUAUGGGACGGAGAGAGUAUAUUUUUGUGUUUUUAUACCAAAUUUUACAUAUUGAAUCAAUAUGUGUGUGACUAUUUAUAUUCUAAAUGUAAUUUAUUUAAAAAGCGGUCGUAAGAUUACCUGGGGUGAAGAAUAACUUAUUAUGCACCUGGAUGACGAAUAGUAAAAUGUUAAAAUAUUCAAAAUGUCUUAUAACUCAGAACAGAGGUGAUACUCCCCAAAAAAAGUGGUCUAGUUUAAGAAUGCUACUUGUUGGCUACUACCUCCGUCCUGAUUUAUUAGUCCCCUUUCGUAAUCUAUGCCACAUUUUGAUCUUAAAUUUAACUAAUAAAAUGUUAAUGCAUGUCAUAAAAGAUAAUAUAAUUGAAAACUAUGUUCAAAUAUUUUGUUAGUUAAAUCUCUAGUCAAAAUUUCGCCUAAAAUACAAAGAGAACUUAUAAACCAGGACGGGGUAGUACAUGUUAAAACAGAAAAAACUACUCCCUCCGUUCCAUAAUAUAAGACGUUUUUUGGCACUACACUAGUGUUAAAAAACGUCUUAUAUUAUGGAACGGAGAGAGUAUAUUUUUGUGUUUUUAUACCAAAUUUUACAUAUUGAAUCAAUACGUAUGUAACUAUUUAUAUUCUAAACGUAAUUUAUUUAGAAAGCGGUCGUAAGAUUACCUCGGGUGAAGAAUAACUUAUUCUGCACCUGGAUGACGAAUAGUAACAUGUUAAGAUAUUCAAAAUGUCUUCUAACUCAGAACAGAGGUGAUACUCCCCAAAAGAAGUGGUCUAGUUUAAGAAUGCUACUUGUUGGCUACUACCUCCGUCCUGAUUUAUUAGUCCCCUUUCGUAAUCUAUGCUACAUUUUGAUCUUAAAUUUUAACUAACAAAAUGUUAAUGCAUGUCAUAAAAGAUAAUAUAAUUGAAAACUAUGUUCAAAUAUUUUGUUCUUUAAAUCUCUAGUCAAAAUUGGCCUAAAAUACAAAGGGAACUUAUAAACCAGGACGGAGGUAGUACAUGCUAAAACAGAAAAAACCACUCCAUCCGUUCCAUAAUGUAAGCCGUUUUUUGGCACUACACUAGUGUUAAAAAAUGUCUUAUAUUAUGGGACGGAGAGAGUAUAUUUUUGUGUUUUUAUACCAAAUUUUACAUAUUGAAUAAAUAUGUAUGUAACUAUUUAUAUUGUAAACGUAAUUUACUUAGAAAGCGGUCGUAAGAUUACGUCGGGUGAAGAAUAAUUUAUUAUGCACCUGGAUGACGAAUAGUAACAUGUUAAAAUAUUCAAAAUGUCUUAUAACUCAGAACAGAGGUGAUACUCCCCAAAAGAAGUGGUCUAGUUUAAGAAUGCUACUUGUUGGCUACUACCUCCGUCCUGAUUUAUUAGUCCCGUUUCGUAAUCUAUGCCACAUUUUGAUCUUAAAUUUAACUAACAAAAUGUUAAUGCAUGUCAUAAAAGAUAAUAUAAUUGAAAACUAUGUUCAAAUAUUUUGUUAGUUAAAUCUCUAGUCAAAAUUUGGCCUAAAAUACAAAGGGAACUUACAAACCAGGACGGAGGUAGUACAUGCUAAAACAAAAGAAACUACUCCCUCCGUUCCAUAAUGUAAGACGUUUUUUGGCACUACACUAGUGUUAAAAAACGUCUUAUAUUAUGGGACGGAGAGAGUAUAUUUUUGUGUUUUUAUACCAAAUUUCACAUAUUGAAUCAAUAUGUAUGUAACUAUUUAUAUUCUAAAUGUAAUUUAUUUAGAAAGCGGUCGUAAAAUUACCUCGGGUGAAGAAUAACUUAUUCUGAACCUGGAUGACGAAUAAUAACAUGUUAAAAUAUUCAAAAUGUCUUAUAACUCAGAACAGAGGUGAUACUCCCCAAAAGAAGUGGUCUAGUUUAAGAAUGCUACUUGUUGGCUACUACCUCCGUCCUGAUUUAUUAGUCCCGUUUCGUAAUCUAUGCCACAUUUUGAUCUUAAAUUUAACUAACAAAAUGUUAAUGCAUGUCACAAAAGAUAAUAUAAUUGAAAACUAUGUUCAAAUAUUUUGUUAGUUAAAUCUCUAGUCAAAAUUUGGCCUAAAAUACAAAGGGAACUUACAAACCAGGACGGAGGUAGUACAUGCUAAAACAGAAAAAACUACUCCCUCCGUUCCAUAAUGUAAGACGUUUUUUGGCACUACACUAGUGUUAAAAAACGUCUUAUAUUAUGGGAUGGAGAGAGUAUAUUUUUGUGUUUUUAUACCAAAUUUUACAUAUUGAAUCAAUAUGUAUGUAACUAUUUAUAUUCUAAACGUAAUUUAUUUAAAAAGCGGUCGUAAGAUUACCUCGGGUGAAGAAUAACUUAUUCUGCACCUGGAUGACGAAUAGUAACAUGUUAAAAUAUUCAAAAUGUCUUAUAACUCAGAACAGAGGUGAUACUCCCCAAAAGAAGUGGUCUAGUUUAAGAAUGUUACUUGUUGGCUACUACCUCCAUCCUGAUUUAUUAGUCCCCUUUCGUAAUCUAUGUCAAAUUUUGAUCUUAAAUUUAUCUAGCAAAAUGUUAAUGCAUGUCAUAAAAGAUAAUAUAAUUGGAAACUAUGUUCAAAUAUUUUGUUAGUUAAAUCUCUAGUCAAAAUUUCGCCUAAAAUACAAAGGGAACUUAUAAACCAGGACGGAGGUAGUACAUGCUAAAACAAAAGAAACUACUCCCUCCGUUCCAUAAUCUAAGACGUUUUUUGGCACUACACUAGUGUUAAAAACGUCUUAUAUUAUGGGACGGAGAGAGUAUAUUUUUGUGUUUUUAUACCAAAUUUACAUAUUGAAUCAAUAUGUAUGUAACUAUUUAUAUUCUAAACGUAAUUUAUUUAGAAAGCGGUUGUAAGAUUACCUUUGGUGAAAAAUAACUUAUUCUGCACCUGGAUGACGAAUAGUAACAUGUUAAAAUAUUCAAAAUGUCUUAUAACUCAGAACAGAGGUGAUACUCCCCAAAAGAAGUGGUCUAGUUUAAGAAUGCUACUUGUUGGCUACUACCUCCGUCCUCAUUUAUUAGUCCCCUUUCGUAAUCUAUGCCACAUUUUGAUCUUAAAUUUAACUAACAAAAUGUUAAUGCAUGUCAUAAAAGAUAAUAUAAUUAAAAAACUAUGUUCAAAUAUUUUGUUAGUUAAAUCUCUAGUCAAAAUUUGGCCUAAAAUACAAAGUGAACUUAUAAACUAGGACGGAGGUAGUACAUGCUAAAACAGAAAAAACUACUCCCUCCGUUCCAUAAUAUAAGACGGUUUUUGGCACUACACUAGUGUUAAAAAACGUCUUAUAUUAUGGGACGGAGCGAGUAUAUUUUUUUGUUUUUAUACCAAAUUUUACAUAUUGAAUCAAUAUGUAUGUAACUAUUUAUAUUCUAAACGUAAUUUAUUUAGAAAGCGGUCGUAAGAUUACCUCGGGUGAAGAAUAACUUAUUCUGCACCUGGAUGAUGAAUAGUAACAUGUUAAAAUAUUCAAAAUGUCUUAUAACUCAGAACAGAGGUGAUACUUUCCAAAAGAAGUGGUCUAGUUUAAGAAUGCUACUUGUUGGCUACUACCUCCGUCCUGAUUUGUUAGUCCCCUUUCGUAACCUAUGCCACAUUUUGAUCUUAAAUUUAACUAACAAAAUGUUAAUGCAUGUCAUAAAAGAUAAUAUAAUUGAAAACUAUGUUCAAAUAUUUUGUUACUUAAAUCUCUAGUCAAAAUUUGGCCUAAAAUACAAAGGGAACUUAUAAACCAGGACGGAGGUGGUACAUGCUAAAACAGAAAAAAACUACUCCCUCCGUUCCAUAAUGUAAGACGUUUUUUGGCACUACACUAGUGUUAAAAAACGUCUUAUAUUAUGGGACGGAGAGAGUAUAUUUUUGUGUUUUUAUACCAAAUGUUACAUAUUGAAUCAAUAUGUAUGUAACUAUUUAUAUUCUAAACGUAAUUUUUUUAGAAAGCGGUCGUAAGAUUACCUCGGGUGAAGAAUAACUUAUUCUGCACCUGGAUGACAAAUAGUAACAUGUUAAAAUAUUCAAAAUGUCUUAUAACUCAGAGUAGAGGUGAUACUCCCCAAAAGAAGUGGUCUAGUUUAAGAAUGCUACUUGUUGGCUACUACCUCCGUCCUGAUUUAUUAGUCCCAUUUCGUAAUCUAUGCCACAUUUUGAUCUUAAAUUUAACUAACAAAAUGUUAAUGCAUGUCAUAAAAGAUAAUAUAAUUGAAAACUAUGUUCAAAUAUUUUGUUAGUUAAAUCUCUAGUCAAAAUUUGGCCUAAAAUACAAAGGGAAUUUAUAACCAGGACGGAGGUAGUACAUGCUAAAACAGAAAAAACUACUUCCAUAAUGUAAGACGUUUUUUGGCACUACACUAGUGUUAAAAAACGUCUUAUAUUAUGGGACGGAGAGAGUAUAUUUUUGUGUUUUAUACCAAAUUUUACAUAUUGAAUCAAUAUGUAUGUAACUAUUUAUAUUCUAAACGUAAUUUAUUUAGAAAGCGGUCGUAAGAUUACCUCGGGUGAAGAAUAAGUUAUUUUGCACCUGGAUGACCAAUAGUCACAUGUUAAAAUAUUCAGAAUGUCUUAUAACUCAGAACAGAGGUGAUACUCCCCAAAAGAAGUGGUCUAGUUUAAGAAUGCUACUUGUUGGCUACUACCUCCGUCCUGAUUUAUUAGUCCCGUUUCGUAAUCUAUGCCACAUUUUGAUCUUAAAUUUAACUAACAAAAUGUUAAUGCAUGUCAUAAAAGAUAAUAUAAUUAAAAACUAUGUUCAAAUAUUUUGUUAGUUAAAUCUCUAGUCAAAGUUUGGCCUAAAAUACAAAGGGAACUUAUAAACCAGGACGGAGGUAGUACAUUGCUAAAACAGAAAAAACUACUCCCUCCAUUCCAAAAUAUAAGUCUUUGUAGUGAUUCCACUAGGUGGACUACAUACGGAACAAAAUGAAUGAAUCUAAACUUAAAAUGCAUCUACCUAUGCGGUUUAUAGUGGAAUCUCUACAAAGACUUACAUUUAAGAACGGAGGGAGUAUAUCCUAAAUCCGUACAGCUCAAACCGGUGCCACAGCCCCUCAAAAAAAAAAGGGUGCCACAGCCCACCUUUUUUUAGGGUUAGUGUCACAGCCCACCUUUUCUUUCUUUUUUUCCUGUGGAAUAACCCGGCGUGUGCUACAGCUCGCUCGGCCUUUAGGCCCAAAGCUUGGGCCUCGGACGUCUUUCGCAGUCCCAGCCCACGCGCGCCACUCCGUGUGACAGGGCAGGGCCAGCCAUCGCGUCGCCGUCGCCGCACGUUGCUGUGUAGCCGCCCACGCUCGCCAGCAACAAGUUCCAUCUCCGUUACGUUGCUCUGUCGUGGCCGCACUGCCUCGUCAGCAUGUUUUGAAUUUCAGUUUCACCAAAAUUUCAGGACCAACCGGAAUCACCGAAAUUCAGUUUCUUUUUUUUUNNNNNNNNNNNNNNNNNNNNNNNNNNNNNNNNNNNNNNNNNNNNNNNNNNNNNNNNNNNNNNNNNNNNNNNNNNNNNNNNNNNNNNNNNNNNNNNNNNNNGCCGUACGUGGAAGAAUACACCGGUGAGGGGAGGGCGGUCGGACAAAAGCGGUCGCCGAGAGCGCGCGGUCGGUGACAGAGGGGGUGGCGAGAGGGGGGAGGAGCAGCGGAGGGGGGAGGAGCAGUGGAGGAGGGAGGAGCAUCGGAGGAGCAUUACCUGCGGCGGCGGUGCCGGUGGCGCGCGGUGGCUGGGGGAGAAACCCUAACCGUUGCUCGGGCAGAUCGAAAGUGAGGGGUGCGGGGGGCGGCCGUACGUGCAGGCCUACUAGCUGUAGUAGUAGUGCUGCAUAUGGGCCGGCGCUACUAGUAAGCCCACUAGCUGUAGCGCCGGUGGUUAGCCCACGCUACAGCUAAGUGGGCUACAGUUUUUGGCCCUGCGGCCCACAUAACAACAGUGCAGCCCAUGCUAACCAACGCUGCUGCUAACCCAUGCCAGUAGCGUGUUUUGCACCCAGCGCUAGUGGUAAUUACCAGUAGCGUGGGGGCCCAAACAAACGCUACUGCUAGACUUCUAUCUAUAAGCAUUUUCCUAGUAGUGGCAAGACGAAGCCACCCCACCUCCUGCCUCUGUCUUCCAGUGCUGCUCCACAAACGAUGCUCCCAAGAGAGAAAGAACACCGCAGUACCACCAUCGUCCGAUCUGGAAGACCAAAUCCUAGAGUUUCCCCCGGAGCAGCACGAGUGGGUCGACAGUCGUUGCACGACGAUGCCUUCAUCAAGGUAACAUUGCAUAACGCCGCCAUCAUCUGCCAUCCGCUCGGUUUUCACCGGCAACUAUGUCCUCCCGACUCGCAGUCGGAACUAGAUGACGAAUCUCAAGAUCCGAUCAUCCAGCCUCAGGCCGACCACUUCGGACGGAGGAGGUGGCCACCAUCGCCGGCUGCACCGGCUAAAAUAGAUCUGACCAGAGGUGCCGCCAAGUAGCACACCAGGCCCUCCACGCCGCCAGUGAUCCGAAGCUAGAUGACGCACCGCCACAGUGGGCUGCCCGACGCGCCGCAGUCACCAUCGCCCGUGACAGGGCUAGCCACCGCCGUCGCCGCCGAAUCUACCGUGCCUCCACACGCGCAAGGGCUCCACAUCACCCGUGAGACGCGAAGAGAGGAGCAUCCCGGCAGCGUCCUCCAGCAACGGCGGGGUGAGGGAAAGUGGAUUCGGCCCCGAAGGCGGCUAGGGCUGGGGAACUGCCCGAGCCGCCCUAGUUUUUUUAUGAGCCGCCCUAGUUGGCACGACGCGGGGGUCGGGUCCCGUCCGUAUGGAAGUAUGAAACUGGGCUCCCCACGAAGCAUAUGAAUCCGCUAGCAACAGAUACCUGACCGCCACGUAUUUACAUGUCAAAGGUGGUUGAUUCGUUGCGAACCAACCACCAGGUGGUAUCCCCAGCCCACCAGGGUUCAAAUCCGGGUGCUCGCAUUUAUACCUAGAUUUAUUUCAGGAUUUCCGGUGACGCGCAUUCAGUGGGAGGAGACGUUCCCAUUGACGACGAGGUGCCUACGGUGACUUCGUAAAUCUCAAGAUGAUAUGCCGGCUCAGUCUUUCAGAGGUGCUCAUAGGGGUAGGAUGUGUGUGUGCGCGUUCAUAGGGGUGAGUGUAUGCGCGUGUAUAUGAGCUUGUGUCUGUACUGAUGUUAAAAAAAAGGUGGUUGAUUCGUUCGUCUUUAGAAUUGCUCAACUUGACCACGUGACAUAUGUGAUAAGUUAAUCAAAACUAUUUUAUAAAAAUAAUUGCUCAACUUGUUUUGUUUAUCUCGUAGCAUCCUUUACAGCGUGAGUCAGUAGUGCCGAUUUUUUUUAGAAAAACUGAACAUAACUAUGAAGUAGUACCAUCGAGAAUGGAAUAUGCACGUGUUAGGCCUACGUGGGCGUACGUAUCGGUAGGUAGCUAUCUAUUUACAGAGUGCCGGUUGUUGUUUAUAGUACAAGAUUAACAAGGUGUUGCAUGUUAUAUAGCUCAGCUCUACGCCUCGAGUAUGUAGCACCAGAUGUCGCAUCAUGCUCUGUCUCUACACCACGACCUUGUAGCACUUGUGUAUGCUAUCCGAGUAGAUAUAUCCCGAGCCGUCCACGCCGUGGCCCGCGCUGUAGCUGUUAAGAUACUCAAAAUACCUCUCGGGCAUGCUCAGCUCGGCCUCCGUGGAAACCUCCUCCAGCGCCGGAUAUGCUAGACCGUGGUUGGUCAGCACGACACAGUGCGACUCGUGCAUCGGCUUCUUCUCGUCACUGCCGCUGCCGCUGAUUGACUCCUGGUAGACAACAUCCUCUGCAAGAAGGUACCGACAAACACGUAGCUUAUCUCUUAUUCUGAACCCUUUGCCAUCUUCUGAUGACAUGAAAUCAAACACCAACUUCUUCAAGUGGUCGUGGGAUAGUCUAACAUUAAACUCGCGAUUCUUUCUACGGCCUCGACGUGCAUACUUCACUUUAAAGCCGCACUCCAUGAUACCAAGGGUCGCAUGGUAAGCACAAUCUCCUGUGCAUCGGUUAGGCAAGUCAGUUUUUAGUUGUUACAAAUGAAUGAAGACUUCAAAAACACUACAGACGGACUCAUAGGAUUGUGAUGACAUACUCUAACCUUCACGGUUCAAUUCCCAGACUCACAUUUACUGGAUUUUCGUUUCUUCCACCAAAAACAAAAACAUGUCCGGGUGGUGUGUGCCAUUAAAAAAACAGAAAAAAAAUGAGCAUGUAACGAAUAUCAAUUUAAAUAGUACAUGGAACAGUAUAGCAUCUUGAGUGGGAAAUGCAUGGAGCUCUCACGUGCCACACACCCCUAUAUGAAUAUAGUAUUAAGAAAAUAGCUGAAAAUCCUCAUCCAGAGUAAAAGUUUGAUAUCCAAAAAUAUCCGUUUUUUUUUGGAAUUUCCUGGUAUUUCUUAUAAUAUUAUAUUUAAUAUGGGUGUGUGUGGGGGGCACCCGAGAGCCACAAAUCCUCAUCCAGAGUAAAAGUUCGAAAUAAACUACAGACUAAAAGUGCGACAAUAUAUUACAAAAGUGCAAAUUAAAUAGAAGGAAUGAGCAUAUAAAAUAAAUAGCGAUUAAAAUAAUACUCCUACAUGUAACAGUACAGCAUUAUCUAAAGUGCAAUAGUUCAAAAUGAAUGAGUAAAAUGCAAUAAUAUUACAAAUGUGUAAAAUUAAAUUGAACGAAUGAACAGAAGAAUUAAAUACACGGUUAUGAAUACUGGAAUAUCAAAAUUCACUCUUCACAAGUUCAUAUUGAUGCAUGCUCCCACAGGCUGACACGGUUGGCACAUGGACAUGUAGUUAUGAUUCGGCCUUAAUGACCGUCUCGUUUUCCCUAUCCGUGACUUCACACGUUCACAUUCUAGCAUUAAUCUGUGUGGAGCGACCCCCAACACCACAGUCUCGACAUCUAAAUACAUUCCCCAAAUAUUUGAACUUCAACAGAUUUUUACACAAAAUGUUCGAUCCACAAACCGUUUGAAAGCUCAUUAUCAGGUCUUUAAAAUAAGACCAAUCUUGGACAAUUUUUUUCAACUAACAGGAUCAAUCUUGCAUAUAUUUGAUCAACUUUGAACAUUUCAUUUUUAAACUAGACAUUAGGGUCGCCAAAACGGAGUGAACAAAUUGUAUAGAGCAAGUCUGGACAUGUAGAUGCGCAAAUCGGAUGAUUAGGGCAGCAAGAUGCAGUGGACAACGGUCUACUAAUGCAGACAAGUAGUGAAGCGAGCGACAAUGUUUGGGGCUGCAAGAUGAAAUGGGCCACGGCGUAAAGCGAUGCCCAACACAAAGUCGAACAAACGAGCUCUUGCAAAAGAGAGCAUGUUUCAUUCUGAUAGAAGGAGAUGGAGGUUGCAAAUGUUGACAGCAAGUAGUACUACAUGGGACAUAAAAAUAAUACUCUAUCCGUUCAAUAUAGAAGGCUUGUUUAGAAAAUUAAAGGAGUACUUUGACAUUAACCAUCUGCUUAUUGUUUCUUAAGCAUCUGAUUAUGUAUUAAAUCUUCCACACUAUCUUCCGUCUAGCCUCGUCGAUGCUCAGAGUAGUGAGGAUCCGUCCAUUUUCUUUAUUCUUGUCACUUCCAAUAGGUCUUUGAUUUCCCUUGGUUUUUGUUUUCUGGCGGCAUCAGUGAGGUGGUGGCGGCAAUGAUGCACUACCUCGACUAUAUCUGUUUCAACAGUCACAAAUGGACUGUGAUGGUGGGUGAUGCUAGAUCUGUGGGCUCUCUUUGGUUCUUAGCAAUUGGGGUGCCAAUCAAGGAGAGUAGUUGGCUGGCUUUUAGUGUGGCGACCUUGAUCUGUUCUGUAGCAAGGUCCGGUGUCUCCAACCAUCUAUAUAGUUGGUUGGUGAAGAAUUGCAAGCCUAAGCUGUAUGGGAUGGUGCCCUAACCGAUGUUUCUUUGGCAGAUCCUAGAUCUUGCUGGAAGUGGGUGUCUGUUGUGGACUCAAAGCCUUGAAUGGUGGGGUGUUUGCAGGUGCCUCUCUCCCUAGUGUAUUUUCAAGAUUCGGCAGAUGGUGUACAACAAAGAAAAAAGACUGACCAAUAUGGUUUCCAUUGUAAUUUCAUUUUCUACUCAUCGCUUUAUGUCAUGGCGUCUUACCAUUGUACUGACUACUAUUUUCCUUGAUGAAUAUAAAAUAUGAGACGCCCUUCAAAGGGCUUUUCUCAAAAGAAAAAUAUUAAGAGUUUUCGAACAACCUAUCACGGUGCCGCAACAUGCAUGCCUUUGACUAGUUGCAAUGGUCACCUGUCAAGAUGGCAACGAGGACCAAACCAGCCGGUUUUUGCAUGCCCAUUCCCGUCCACGCUAGAAAACCACAAGCCUGUCCCCGCCCCCGUCUCGGUGCACAGGGCUGUUUUUUGCCUGUCACUUAAACCCGUCGAGUUUUCUCUACCCACGGGGAACCCGUCCCCGCGAGCAGUCAACAAAAACAGCAACAUUUCUCAAGAAAAUAGGAGUAUAUUUCAGCAAUAUGUAGAUUGGUAUAAGAAAUGUGCAACUGGUCAUGUGGAGGUGGCAGCUGCAGGCGGGAUGGGAAAAAUACGGGCGGGNNNNNNNNNNGUUAAAGCAGGAUGUUAGGUUUUGGUUGGAUCAUGUCCAUUCCAUGGCCUAUAUGUCGGUAGCUUCACGGUUAUGGCAGGUUUCGGGUUCAAGUACUACUACAACGAGUUUCAACCCGCGAAACAAGCCAGGUUUGAUAGUUUACCCAACAACGGUCCCGUGGGGUAAGAAACAUGCCCAUCCCCAUCCCUAAUAGGGUAAAAUCCCAUGGGAACGCAUGUUAUAGGGCCCCAUUGCCAUCUUGAGUCACAUGCAUAGUUAAGAGGCCCCUUUGAUUCCAUGUAUAGUUAAGAGGACCCUUUGAUUAGCAGGAUUCUUAAACCCACAAAUAUGGACAAACAUAAGACUAUGUGCCCCCUCCUUUGAUUCUCAUGAUUCUUAAAAUGUUUAAAUAGGAAAAUAUAUAGGAUUAGAGUGUCCCUAAAAGACCAGGAAACUAUAGGAAUUUGGAUAAAGGAGUGUUUGAGUUUGUACCAAGAGGUUUGAGUUUGAGUGGAUGAAAUAUAUUUUCUAUAAUGCAACGAAAUCCUAAAGUAGGAUUCUAAUCCUGUGGAUCAAAUGGCCAAAGUAAGAUUUUUUUAAAGAUAUAAAUCCUUUGAAAUUCAUGUAAAAUUCCUUUUUGAAUCAAAAGAUCCUCGAACUGCAAGGCCUGGAUGCAUUGGCUUACAUUAGUACCAAGAUUUGCAAAUGCAAAACAAGCCUUGUAUAUUUGAAUUUCCCAUUUCUAGAGAUAUGUAUUGUAAACCUGAGAGUACACACUGAUUCAAAGAAUAAAAUAGGAAGUACGAUAAAUAAAAUAAUGGAAUUCAAGUAUAAAAUACAAAAUACCAAAGAAUAGAAUGAGAUAUUAUCAACUAGAAUACCAUGAAGUAGAUAAAAAUUGCAUAUAGCACACAGUAGAUUAAAGAAUAGUGUAAGCCAUAUAAAUAAAAUAUUAAUAAAAUGAAUUAUUACAAUUUUCUGAUGGAAGUAACAAUGUCAUAUUACAAAUUCAUUACCAAGUUGGUAAUGGAUAAAAAAAUGACCUUAAAACUACAAAAAAAAUAUUACAACCUCUAAAGCUGGAUACUCUCCUGCUACACUAAGAGGUAGGCUAAAACAACUUCCUCGCCUAGAGGCCAAAAGGUGCCAAGUUGUCAAUUUAAGGCAUCCCUGUUCAGACUUCAUCUUUUGAAGCUUUGAGCCCUCAUGAAAACACAAACCGACAAACACCUGAUUUUUGUACGUAACCAGUACCACAAUAACUUCUCUUCUCCAUCCAGCACAGCCUCUCAGAUAGGACCCACAUUCAGUCUCUAAGAUUUGUACCUCUAAAUCAGGCGCCAUAGAGAGUAUGGCCUUGCCACCAAAACAGUUGCUCCCUCCAAUCCAAAUUACUUGUCGCAUUGGAUGCAUCUAGACGUAUUUCAGUUCUAGAUACAUCUCUUUGAGUGGCAACUAAUAUGGAUCAGAGGGUAUUUUUUUUUGAUAGCCCUUUUGAGUAUUUAAUUCAUUUUGAGCAUUAUGUGGAUUAACCAAAUCACCACAACAAGCCAUACGGUUUGUGUGUGUUAUUGUAGGGAUGCAUGUUACAAAUCGGCAAUAUAAGAAACUAAGUGCCACAAAACAGAUGAAUAGGAUUAAGCAUCAUGUGGAUUCCCUGGAUGGCCUCCAGCAAACCAGUUACAUCGUGGUUGCUUGUGGUAACAAAAAACAACUAAUCUAGCAAGUCAUACUUAGAAAAAACAAAUAAUGAUGAGUCUGGAUAAUCUCCUACCUUAACGAUCUUAACUUAAUUACAAGUUGGACAUGUUGUAGGAUCGCAAGCUUAAGAGCAACUUUUUUCUGUAUAAGAUCGACCAUCUAGUUUGCCACGUACUACCAGUUUGCAUACACAGUAUGUAGCCUCACUGCGUUAUGACAGUAGAGACCUUAAUUAGAAUGCAAGUGGAUUGUAUUGCUAAAUGCCUGCCAAAGUUCGGCCACAUUGUAAAAACCAAAGCCAAUAUUGUGAGUGCACUCGUACUUAGUCAAUGCACCACCCUUAAAUGUGUUGUGGUGAUACUAAAGGGCACAUGAGCUAUUCCAAGACCUGGCCCACUAGGUCGGCGAACUGAGCACAUCAGAUAGCGCAGGCGGCAGCGAGGAUGUGGAAAUUGGAUGAGUCAAAAGAGACUAGAUGGUGGCUCAGGCAUCGGCGAGCUAGUGGUGAGUAGGGGAUCUGGCAUGGUAUCUAGUCUGUUCAUGUUGGUUAAAUCAUUGAUAGUCGUGCGAGUGCGGUUGUAAGGCCAACUCCAAGGCACGAUCCAGGCGGACGUCCAAUUUGCCCGGAUUUUAUCUGUUUAGGUCGGCAAAACGGAUAGCAGACAGAAGGACACGUCCGGACAUGGUCUUUGUACCUAACGGUGCUACAGCAUUUGGGAUGUCCUCCACGGGUAUUUCAUCAAACACCUGGCAGGCACAGUAGCUCCUCCACGACAUCGUGGCCGGGCGCGGCCCUUCGUGCCGCAUGCAUAGCAACGCCCGCCUGCAGGGUCCUCAGGACGCGUCGGCACCCAGCGGCGCCACCUCAUUCCACCGCCGGCCACCCUCCUCUGCUUGGCGCUGGUGGGAGUAGUGCGUGGCGUGGCUGCGGGCGUGCGCACGGGAGUAGUGCGCGGGCCGGCCAUGGGUCAGCUUCCAGCAGCACGUCACCAAGAACGGCGGGGGCAUGUCGCCAUCAUCGAGGAGAUACACGGGCUCAUCCGCGUGUACAAGGACAUGCACAUAUAGCGCCUGCCAGCUAUCCUGAUGCCCCCUUCAUGGGGGUGUGGGCAUGCCUGUACGUGCUGCCGCUGCAGCAGGAAGGUCCCCGUGGUGGUGUACUUCCAUGGUAGCAGGUUCAGCGGCGGCUCUGCCACGUGGAGCUGCUACCACAAGUUCGUUGCUCAGCUCCCCAGCCGUGAUGUCGUCGACUACCGCCUCACACUGGAGAACCGCCUGCCCGCCGCGUUCGACGACAAGGACGCACGGCAGCGGCAGAGCAUCCAUGGCCGCGGCGACGAUGAGGAUGCGCAGCAGCAGCAAGGCAUCCAUGGCCGGCAUGGUGGGAGGAGAAAUAGAGAAAAAGAGGAUUGCUGGCGAGGCGCAUUGAUGGACACUAGUGGAUUUUUGGAUUUGGCUCUCUGCCAGAUAUGUCUAUGUGAUUGGGGCUGGGUGGCGGCAUACAAUUCCGAUGCAGAGACGGCUCUAUGGGGUAGGGUCAUGGUUCAGCAUGGCAGGCGCGGUGAUGUUGUGAACUUGUGAUGCAAGGGUCCCUUGUUUUGGCUCAAAAAUUGACAAAGCCAUGUUUCCGCUCAAAUUUGGCUCACACCAACUUGGUCAUCAUUUAGCUUGCUGAUAUUUGCGGUUUUCCAGUUUCUACUAACAUUUAGUUCAGACAUACACCACACUCACAUCAUCACAAAGGACACACACAUUAUGGCAUGUUUAGUGUGCAUGACUUACCUGGCUCCUGCCUCCUUGGUGGUGGGAUAAUAUGCAAGCCACGGAAAGGCCUUUUCCUCCAACUGAAUAUGAAAUUGAAGUCGGCUCGCUGAAAAUUCUUGUAUACUGUAAAAAUAUAAGCAAUACUAAGUAACAGAAGCAUAUUAACAACAAUCUGAAACAAUAAGUACAAGUAAAAAGAUCAUACUAUAUGAUUGUAUGUGGCAUAUUUCUGUAGAGGCGGAGUCUAGACCAACCCCCAACAUUUCCUAAAAAUGUCAUAAAAAGGGUAGCCUCUUUAUUUGAUGUCAAUACAUGGUUGACUGCUACAGACUGUACAAAGAGCUAGAACUAAAUGACAUCAGUACCUCUUCAAUCGAGGUGCCAUCAGUUUGCUUCUGCCCAUCAGCCCCAUCCUCUUGGUCCUGACCAUCUGCCUCCAUCUUCGCAGCUUCAGCCUCCUCGGACACUUCAGCCAUCUUGGUGACAAGCUUGGGGAGCACAAACUCAGUAGGAACUUGGCCAGUGCUCAACGCCUGAUAUCACAGUGGCGAAUGGUGCAUGUCAGUACAUAGCAUAGGGUGCUUCAAACUAAACAAUGCGCUGGAGCUAAAUAAUACACGUCAUGUUACCUUCUCAAGCCUUGUAACUUCGUCAAGCAUCUGAGAGUUCAUGAUAGCAGCCUACAGAUGAAAAACAUGUUAAACACAAAUUCACAGCCAGAUGUAUUACAAAGGAAAAUAGAAGAUACUGACAUUUUCAACACGACAUAGAUACGGUAACUGAGUACAAAGGAUGCCUCAGUAACUGGGAUGGACAUGGACAUCAUGGUAAGAAUAAAACAUAUGGAAGUAAAUAUGAAGCCCAUACAGAACAUGCCAGAAAAAGACCUGACCAUUUUCUUUCCCUGAAUGCAACAGUCAAGUAAUAGGGGUUCUACUCAACUUGAAAUAAUGACAUGAACAUGCUAUGUCCAAAACAGAAAGAGGGAGUCAAGUACCUUGAAAGCUGUGAUUUGUGCAGGCGUUGGAGCGACUACUUUAAGACCUUGCUCUUUUGUGGUACCUUGAGCAUCCACCACUGCUGGAGUACGAGCUUUGACAGCAACCUUCUCUGUAGCCUCCUCUGCCUCCUUUGGGUGGAACUUUUUCACUGCUUCAGCUCUCUCCUACAGAAACACAAUCUCAUAUAAAUUUUCAGACACAGAUAAGCAUUCAUGCAACUAAUUCACAGAUAAUCAGUUAAAAGAGUUGCUCUUUUCCCCUUUUUGCUGCCAGCACUUCUGCGGUCAAUUCCAAAAUCAUUUUGGAAAUUAUUCCGAAGGAAAUAAACAAACCUGUGCAGAAUAAAUCAACAAUCAAGCAGCGAUGGGAUUUCUGUGCAAUACCCACAACCUCUAAAAAA
rnacentral:lncRNA from 1 species